ACGGGAUCCACUCUUGUUGUUCUAGUCUAAAGGGUGUAGGUAUAUCUAAGGUACUAUUUACUAAAAGGAAAGUUAAAAGAAAAUGAAAAUGACUCACACGGAUAUCGCAUCCACUACAUACGUAUCUCAUCUGAGUAUGAGAAUCAGAGUCUUCAUAGCUCGACUAUCUAUGGGUUAAAGAGAAGUGUGCUCGAUAAGACAUCGCGUCCUAUGCCUACGUAUCUUAUAUGGAAUGAGAAUCAGAGCAAAACGUAGUUCAGCUAACUAUGGGAACAAGGGUCUCGAUUGCAACUAGGGCAAGAGAAGGGGAAAGUCUCGAUCGUAACGAGGGCGAGAGAAAAGAAUCGCAAUAGGGGCGAAAGAAAGCGAGGAUUAGUUGUUAGUUGUCAGUCAAACUCGGCAAGACAUCGCGUCUCGUGCCUACGUAUCUCAUAUGAACAUGAGAAUCAGAUUUGUCGUAGUUCGACUAACUAGGGGUUAAGGAUUGCCAUCUGAACAUGGACUUACAAAAGAGGACACCAUUUGUGUCAAAGGACAGGUGGACAAUGUGUUCAACGUCCUAGCAGUAGGUGUCGCAGCUUGCUGAAUCGAGUCUUAGGCAGUUACCUCUUUGCAAUAGAAUGGAUUGACAUGCCACAAGAUCGGAGACGCACGGAAGGUCUAAAAAGUGGGGAAGCUCUGCCCUAGAGUUGUCAUGCAAUAUGGACCUAUGUGUUAGGAUUUACAAAGGGGAACAUCUACCUAAUGUUAGCAUGCAAAGAAUAAGGGAAUUCUAUCUAUGUUAUCAUACAAAGGGUUCUACCUGAUGGGUGCUACCUAAACGGAACGAGAGUCGACGGAUGGAGCAAGGAGAGGAGCCACGGGUAAAGGGUAGAUGGCAAUGCAUGAAGCAAUCGACUUACAGGUAUAUGGAGAUUCAUGGAGCAAUCGACUUACAAAAGGAUGGAUGAAUACAUGCUGGUUCUGUUAAGUUUUGAAAAUGAUUACUCGACGUUGGAUCGAGCUUCUGAUCUUGUUUUGAAAUGAUUAUCGGAUGUUCGUUUUAAUUCUUGUAUUAACAGAUAAAUAAAGAAUGGAAGAAUAAAUAUUAUACACUUUAUGGGAGAGGGGUACAUUUUUUAUGAAUGGGGAUUGUUCAUGGCAUUCAAACAAUAAGAAUAUAUGCCCCAUACAUCAUACAGGUAGGCAAUAGUUAAUCAAAUCAGAUAAGUAAACAAAUGUAUAAUCAAGUCAAAGAAUCAAAGAAUUAAAUAAUGGAGCAUUAAACAAUGCAUGGGAAGUAUGGACAUGUUAAACAAUCAAACAAUAGAAGCAUGGUUGAAAGAAACAAGCAUAACAGCUAAUAGAUGAAUCAAACAAAUGAAAAGAAAUGCACAAAAGGGUUCACUGAAUAAUUUAAUUAGGAAAUGAGGUGAGGAUCAAAUAAAAUCAAGAUAUAAGGCCUCUAAUACAUGGCAUAUGAGAUGAACAAGGUAGGAUCAAAAGAUCUCUUCAAUUGCCAUAAGCAAUCCCUAAGUCAAACAUCAAUCAUAGAAAAGUCAACUAAAAAGUCAAGUCAACUUAAAAAUUAUGGAAUAAAUAGCAAAUUAAUCAAGAAAAUUAUGAAAAAUUAAACUAAAUAAAGUGGGGUCAGGACAUCAUCAUCCCCCAAAAAUAUUUUAAAAAUAAUGAAAAUUGGUUCAUAAAUUAAUUGAAAUAAAACAGAGGUCAAACCAAAAGUCAACCAACCAAACUAGGUAAAAAAUAAAUCCAAAAUAAAUUGAAAAUGGGAAAUAAAAUUCCAAGAAAAGGUCAGGUUGACCAUGGGACAUUGGUCAACCUUUAUCCCAAAAAUAAAAAGCUAAAAAGAAUUUUAAGUUAUGAAAAUAAAAUCAAGAAAAAAGUGUGUUAAAAUGGACCACUUGGAAUAAAUAAUUAAAAUAAAAUACUAAUAUUAAAUAAAUACGAAAAUAAAAAUUAAAUAAAAUUAAAUAAGACAUUAAGAAAUAUGGAAAAUAUUUUUUGGAAUUUUUAUGAAUAAAGAAAAUAUUUUAAAAUAAUUAAAAUCUAAACAUAAAAUAAAUUGAAAUUAAAAUAAGGAAAUAAAAGAGGAUGGAUUAAUGGUGAUGGGCCCUGAAAGGGAGGUGUGGCAAGUAAGUGGCGCAAAGGCCCAAUCCAAAACAAUAUUCAGGGCGUGACAGACCAAAAUAACAUUUUAAUAAAAUAAAACAUGUCAACAUUUAUCAAUAGGGCAAGGUCACUUAAAACACUACAGGACAAAAAAGCAUGGGUGGCCACGAUUAGAAGAUGCAUGAUGGAUCUAACGGUUCGUAAUCAUCUUCUUCCAUAAAACUUGGAACCCUAAUGCCAUGCACAAGAAACACGAUAGCAUGCAGUGAUUUUUUCAAUUUUCCACCCAAUAAUACUACCACUAUAAAGCACCAAAUGCCAUGAAAUAAAAACCAAAGUUCAAGUACAAAAUGUGUAGAUCAUCAUGGUAACUUGUUUUAGUAAAAAUAAUGGCUUAAUCAUGGAGAAAAGUUGACCACAAGAGGUCAACAUGGACACGGAAAAGGCAAAAAAUUAAGCAUGCAUAAAUUAAUAACAAGAACACAAGCAUGUGAUGACUAGCAUGGUAAUUAUGAAACAAACAUAAGCAUGGUAAGCAAGAAUAGAUAUAUCAAAAUAUGGUCAUGGAAGAGAUGAUUACCUAGUGAAAAAUAGAAGUGGAAUGGUGCUUCCUUCUUGGUAUUUCAAGGCUUCAACUUGCUGACUUGUGAUGCUCUUGCCACAAAAUUUCAAUGCCUUUUAGGUUUAGGGUUUCAUGCUUUUAAAUAUGGUGAAACAAAUGUUCUAGUGGGCCUUGACAUCCAUGUUUUAUCCAUAAGCAACAUAAUGUAAAGUGAGGUGUAUUAGGUUUGUGUUAUUUUGGGCCAAACUGAAGUGAAUGGAUAUCCAAUGCAUGGCCAAAUGAGGUAAAAACGUGGGCUGGUUUGUGCAUGGCUUGGCAAGCAAGAAAUCCAUUCCAAGGUGGUGACUUUAUGGCCAUGUAACUUGAUGAGCAAGCUACCAAUUGGAGAAAUAAUGCAAACAGUAGCAAGAUAUCAUGGAGCUUAGCAUCUUUCAUGUUGAUCACAAGUUGAAAUGAUGAAUGGAAGAAUGUGAAAAAUGGCCCUCAAGUUCAGGUUUCGCUAUUGCAAAACUAUUGGGCCAGUUUGGCCUAAAAUCUGCCUAGAAAAUCAGGUCAUGAUGCCCACUUUAGGUGAAUGUAUCUUUCAAACCAUGGAUUCAAAUGAGAUGAUUACAAAAGGUGGUGAAAGAGGACAUGGCAAGGUAUAAUUGUUGUGAAGAAAACAUUUUCAAAUGAUUCCUUGAAAUGCAAGAAAACUGGCCAAGAAGUCUUGACAAACUUUGAAGAUCUUUGGACUUAGAAAAUUUUCUAAGUGUCCUAAAAACAUGUCUCACUUUGACUAGGCAUAACUUUCUCAAUUUUGAUCCAAAUGGAACAAACUUUAUAUAUCUAGAAAGCUUGGAACAAGAGGAACAACUUACAUGUUGGAUAAAUUUUCAAAUGGAGCUUUUAUAUUGAUGGAAAAUGGGCUUAAAGUGAGUGCAACAAUCAUGAAAACUUGCCAUAAAUGGAAAGUCAACCAUUUACAAAUUAAGUAACUUUUCCAAUUCCUGAUUAAAUGAUGAAUCCAUGAUCCAACCUUGAUCAAAUUUCAUAUGUAGGCUCCCUUAGGCAUGAAUUUUGAGAUUCCACUCUCAAAAUGUCAGGAGUUGACUUUUCUGGCUCCACAAUUGACUUUUCCCAAACUAUCUGAUUCCCGAUUUCAAUGAUCAAUUAAAGCACCCCUGGCUCAAAUAAAAAGCUGAUUUUUUGUAUGUAGACCCUUGUGGACAUAUGGAGGGCCCUGUAAAAGAGUUUCACCCAAAGAAUCAGAAAUAAAUUGAUUUUAUACCAAACCCUAGUUUAGGGCAAAAUUGAUCAGGAAUUGAUUGCACUGCUUGCCAAUGGAUCUUUCUGAGAUAAUUGUGAAUCUUCCUAGGCCAAGAUUCCUAUCUAAUCAUGACAUGGAUGAGACCCUCUACUUCCAACCAAACAUUGCAUGUUGCAAGUAUCCAUGAAACCCUAAUCUCCUGAUUAAAUUCAGAUGAACACUCGGAUAGCUCUGGAUCCUUCACUGAUGAACUGAGGACCAUAAUAAGAUACCUGGAGCCCCCUGAGAUCCUUGAGACUUGUAUACUUAGAGAAUGUAGUCCAAUCCUCAAUCUUGCUUUGUGUGGGCUCCUUUUGUUAAGGAGUGAUCAAUCCAAAUCUGAUUUCCAUGUCACUAAUGCAGUAUGCAAUGAGUAUGACCUAGUAUGAUGCUAAUGAAGUGUGAAACAUAAUCCCAUGCUUCCAAGAAAAAUGAAGGGUAAAUUUUGGGGUACUACACAUUUGAGAAGAGGAAUUGAAAACUCAAGACCAUCUCCCUUUUCGUACAAUUUGUUAUGAAAAUGAUUUGAUUAAGUUGUAUGUUUGUAAAAAAUGACAAUUGUUCGACUGACCGAGUAAGAGAACUCGUAUUCAAAUAAUUGAGGAGAGAAGUUGAAGACUCAAAGUCAUCUCCCUUUUCAUUUAGCUUAUUAUGAAAAUAAUUUGAUUUAAUCGGGUUUGGAAGUUUGUAGAGGAACGAUAUUAUUUUACUAACCAAGUAAGAGAACUUGUAUUCAAAUAGUCAUGGAGAAAAAAUUGAAGACUCAGAGUUAUCUCCCUUUUGGUUUCUUGUUAUAAAAGGGUUUGACUUGCUUAUGUUUAAAUGGAUUAGAAAUGACGACCAUUUGACUAACCGAGUAAGAAAACUCGUAUUCAAAUAAUGAGGAAAGAGAGAGUUUUGAAAACGUCAAAACCAUCCCCUUUUCUUUUCAAAUGAAGUGUCGUUUAGAUGUGAUUAAGUAUUUUUAAUUUAACUUUUCGAUGUCGGAUCGAGGUUUCAACAAUUGCAUUCUUGUAAAUCGAAAUGAAUUUAUUUAGUUGAAAUGUUCCUCUAAUCGAUAAUUAAAAUCGAAUAGGUCUCAUUGUAAGAAGGCCCAGAGAUCAGCCCAUGUGAGUUGAUGGAUGCUUUUUCAAGCGAUCGACUUACAAAGGAAUUUAAAAAUGGGUCGGACUUGAAUCGAGAAGUUCUAUUUGUUUUUUACAAAAUUGGUUUUCAAUGAUGCAUGUGAAUUAUAUAUUUUUGUAUUUUUUAAGUCUUUAUCAUUUUUAGGUUUCAUUUUUAAGAUGAGAUGCAGAAUGUAGCAAUGAUAUAGUAUAAAGCGAAGUAAAGUAAAUAUAAAUAAAUAAAUGUUAAGAAAGCGGAAUUUAAAAGAGUUAGAUGUUAAUUGCGGAAAUUAAAAAUUAGAGUUAAUCGUUAAUGUUAGGUGUUAAUUGACAAUCACAUGAAUAACAUGAGAAUUUGAUAAAAAUAUUAAAUCUAAACAAUACUCAGUUUAAACCAACUAACAAAAGUAUCAUUAAAUUUAAAAUCAAAUAAUAUUAACACGAAAUCUCACUUCUAAAACACUAUUAUCCAAAUUAUUAAUUUUACAAUAUUACAAAGAUUAAAGUCUAAAUCAUUCUAAAUUAAAUUAAAUUCUAAAACAAUUCUAAAUCCUAAUAGAUUCUAAUUAAUCUCAAUUUUCUAAAAAGAAAUUAUAUUAAUUUCUAAAAUAUAACAAAGAUUAAAUCUAAAAUCAUUCUAAAAUUAAUUAAAAUUCUAAAACAUUCUAAUCACUUAUAAUCUAAUUAAUCUAAAUCAUUCUAAAAAAGAAAUUAAUUAAUUUUAAAAUAUUAAAAGAUUAAAUUUCUAAAAUCAUUCUAAAUUAAAUUAAAAUUCUAAACAAUUCUAAAUCAACCUUAUAAUUUAAUUAAUCUACAAUCAUUUCUAAAACAAAGAUCUAAUUAUUUCUAAAAUAUUAAAAAGAUUAAAUUUAAAAUCAUUGAAAUUAAGUUAAAUUCUAAAAUAAUUCUAAAUCACUUAAUAAUUUAAGUUAAUCUACAAUCAUGUUUAAAAAAAGAAAUCUAAUUAAUUCUAAAUAUUAAAAGAUUAAAUUCUAGAAUCAUUCUAAAUUAAAUUAAAAUUCUAAACAAUUCUAAAUCACCUUAUAAUCUAAUUAAUUACAAUCAUUUCAAAAAAAAAAAAGAAAUCUAAUUAAAUUCUAAAAUAUUUUCUAAUUAACAUUCUAAAACAAUCAGUAUGGGCCUAAAAAGGACAACCCAAUCGUAUGGGGGUAUGGAUAGUGAAGAUAAAAACACAACAAACAAAUGAGUAAAAUGGGCCAAAAUUGCACACAGCCCAUGAAAGGGUCCGGUCAACAUUGUUGACCUUGGGGGUUCAUUAUUAGGACGGUGGCAAGUGUCCAGGGUUGGUGACACUUGUCACCACUACUUAUCACAUUCCCCUUGGCUAUGUUAAAACAGAAACAGAAGAAACGAAACAUCACUUUCCAGGUUUCAUUCUCUCUCUACACUUGCUAACCCUAAAAACACUCUGCAAUUAUACACUCUCUCUCUCUCUUUGACCUAUCUUCCGGAGAAGAAGGUGGCAGGCGGCUGUCCACGGUGGCGCCGCCCCUCUACUCCGGCGAACAAACAAAAAUUCCACCUUCCCCAUUAAAAUACUCUCCUGAGUUUGAAUCUGAACUCAGAUUCUUCACCACUAUCCCUAAUCGUCCGGAUCGGAAACAAAAAUUCCACCUUCCCCAUUAAAAUACUCUCCUGAGUUUGAAUCUGAACUCAGAUUCUUCACCACUAUCCCUAAUCGUCCGGAUCGGGGACGUCUAACUAAAACCCUAAGACCAAAAUCGAAUAAAAAUUAGUGAAGGUCUCCCCCAAUUAAACAUGGAUUCCUCUCAAGUCUGCAAGGUGACUACAAAGGUGAAGUGGAGGAAAGAAAAGAAGAGAUAAAAGAGAGAGGAGUAUACUACCUCGGAAUUAGUCUGAAGGGCGCACCUCCGGCGAGCUCAGGUAAACAACUUCUUCCUUAUUUCUGUUUUUGUUUUUUAGGGUUUUUUUAGAAGAAUGCUAUGUCGUUCUUGCUGUUGUGUUCUUAUGUGGUGCUGUUGUGUUCUGGUUUAGGGUUUGGAGAGAAAUUGAUGUGUUGUUCUUGAUGUGUGUUUUAGGUUUUUUUAGAAAAAAUAUCUUUACUGUGUUGUUGCUGUUCUUGUUUCUCAUCCAUGAACGUUUAUGAAAUAUUGCUAAGUCUUAAAGAAAAACUCCUUCCUUUUUUCGAUUUUCUCAUCCCAGAUUAUGUGGGAUUUGAUUUGUUCUUGUUUUAGACCAAUUUUGACAUGCUUUUUGGAUGUUUAGGUUAAUCUUCUGGGUAAAGCUUUAAUCUGAGUAAUUUUUUAGUUGUUUUUCAGUUCUCUAAGUGCUUUUGAAAAGUGCUUUUUAAAUAAGCUAUUUUUCUUCUCUGCAAAUUACAAGUUUGAAGAGACUUUGAUGAAAUGGAAAAGUGGAUGUAAGACAGUAAGUUGGAGGCGCGCCCAAGUCAAGGAACCUGUUUCCAUUUGCAGCAAAUUUUCACUUAGUUAAAAUAUCAUUAUUUAGUUUAAUUAAAUUUUUAAAGACAAAAUGUAUUUGGGCUAUUUGUAACUUAUUGAAUUAAAAGUCUAAUGGCCAUUGUAACUUGUUGGACUUGGAAAGAAUUGAAUUAUUAAAGUGUAUUUGGGCUAUUAUUUGGAAUAUUGUUUGGAGUAUUAUUUGGAAUAUUAUUUAUACAAUUAGUCUCUUUUUUUUUUAAAUUUUAAAUUUUGUCUUAACAAUUUAAUUGUAUUAAUCAAAAGAAAACUUUAAACUAUAUCUCAAACAAAAAAUGGGUUGGGCCAAAAAAUGUAAUUUAAUGGAUUUUCAACUUGGUCAUUGGUUAACUUUAACACAUUAAUAUUAACCAAAUAAAAUGUGCCAAAGGUCNNNNNNNNNNNNNNNNNNNNNNNNNNNNNNNNNNNNNNNNNNNNNNNNNNNNNNNNNNNNNNNNNNNNNNNNNNNNNNNNNNNNNNNNNNNNNNNNNNNNNNNNNNNNNNNNNNNNNNNNNNNNNNNNNNNNNNNNNNNNNNNNNNNNNNNNNNNNNNNNNNNNNNNNNNNNNNNNNNNNNNNNNNNNNNNNNNNNNNNNNNNNNNNNNNNNNNNNNNNNNNNNNNNNNNNNNNNNNNNNNNNNNNNNNNNNNNNNNNNNNNNNNNNNNNNNNNNNNNNNNNNNNNNNNNNNNNNNNNNNNNNNNNNNNNNNNNNNNNNNNNNNNNNNNNNNNAACACAUAUGAAUAUAACCAAAAUAAAAUGAUGCCAAAAGGUUUCUAGAAUAAACAUUUGCCACCCAAAGAAAUGUAAUGCAAUUUUCAAACCUCCUUGAUGCCUAAAGAUAUCAAUAACCAAUACUCAUAUAUGUGGUAUCUUAUAUAAACCAAACAUAGAUCAUACUUAGAAAAGAAGGCAAGUUUUAGUUUAAGAUUUUUUUAUGAUACGGUUUAGAGAUUUGGAUAUUGUUUAAAUGUGCAAAUUGGGUUUUAAUGACAAGUGAUCAUAAAAAUAAUCAUGUCUCUUAAUACUUACUGAUAAUCAAAUGGACUUUUGGAUCAGUGUCGUAAAAAGAUUCAAACCACACUUUGCAACAUUAAUCAUGGACAUGUCUACGUGAAUGGGCCUUUUGAAAUAAAGAGAUCUCAUGGAUAAACCAAAAUGGGCCUUGUUAAACAAAAAUGCAUAUACCAUCCCAUGCUUUAGUGAAAACAAAUGCAGUAGAUAUUUUCUUAAGGAUCUUAACAGAUGAAAGUAUCAUUAAAGACUUGAUGUUACCAAGGACCAGACAAAAUUGGGGUAUGACACAUUGGUAGGACUUCAGACAACCAAGGAUCUAAGAGAAUUGAUAGAGAAUCGAAGAGAAGAAAAAAUCUAGAAAAUACCUUCAAUGUUGUGCAGAAUCCGAUUGCUCUUGCUUUGAUUCUUGCUUGAUCCCACUCACGAAGCUUACAGAAGUAGAUUAAAAUAAAACAAAGGCCUUAGAUCCCUGGAGUUUUGAAUCUCAAAACAGUAUGACUCAAACUCAAUUUUCAAAGAAAAUUCUCAGGUUUCUCCUUUCAAAUUGAAGGGUUUAAGGUAUUGGAGCAAAGUUGGCGCAAAAGGGUCCUUAAUUCUGAUGCUAGAGGUCUCUAUUUAUAGUUGCAGAUCAUGUUAUUUGCACCUUCAAUUUCAACUUCCAAAUUUGGUAAUGGAUGAUGCAUGCUUGCAUGGGAGGAUACAGGUCCAUGAAGUCACUCAUUUAGGUCCAUAAUCAAGUGUAAAUGAGUCUGAGUGCAACUUGGAAUGCAAGGCAAAUGUGUACAGUUGUUUGAAGUUUUGAUCUUGCCAAAUGAUGAUGCCAUGUUCAAGCCAUGCGUAUACCACUCAAAACUUGUCCAAAAUGGAUGAAAUUAUACUCUUUGAAAAGAUUAGAUCAAGAGGAACAACUCUUAUGUUGAACAAUUUUCCAUUUGAAGCUUGUAUCAUGAUGAAUUUUGAGGUGGAAGUUUGGAAAUUUUAGCAUGUCAAAACUUUUUCUAAGUGUCAAGUCAUAUGUUCACUUAUUCCACAUUGGCUAACUUUUUAUGUGAGCUUCAAAUGAGAAAAGUGUUUCAUAAAAGUUGUAUCUCUUUCAAAUAAAUUCAAAAUGGUCACAAAUUUGACCUCAUUUGGAUUUUAGAUGAAUGCGUUAAGCAUUUUUGAAGUUGAGGAAAAUCACUUGUUCAAUGGUAUUGGUCCAAAAUGGCUUAUAAUGUAUCCUCAUAUCACAUGCUCAUAAAAGUUGAAUUAGCUCUUCCUACAAACAUAAAAGUUGAAGUAUACACCUUGAAUUUGAUUGUGAAACCUGGAAAUAUUUCAUCUCAUAAAAAUUGAGCAAGUUAUGGACUUGGGAAGUUGACCUCCAAAUUAGGGUUUAGACAAAAUGACAUAUAAUCUUUCACCAUAAACAAUGACUUUCCAAGAAAAAAUAGAUCUAGACCUCAACAUGAAAGUUGUUUGGAUUAUCAUUUAAAGUAACUUUUUGUAAUAAUUUUCAUAUGAUAAAUAUUUUAGGAGAUAGGGUCUAGGGGACCCUAGUUUUGAUCAGAUGAAUUCCUCUGGUCAACCACCAUCAACCAACUUGCUAACUUGCAAUUAUCUUGACUUUUGGGACUCAUGGGAGAUCAUAUAUGCAUAAGAUGAUGAAAUUUGAGGUGUACCUUGAAAUAUUUGAUCAAUUGUUGAAGAAGCUUGGUGAAGAAGAUACACAAGAUACCCAGAUGAACUAGGGUUUCCAAGGCAAACCAAUUCCAAACUCUUGAAGAAUUCUUGAUCAAAAUAACAUGUAAAGAUCAUAGGGACUUACAUAUGAUGCCUAGAGCCAUUGUGGAUCAUUUCUUGGUUGAGCUCUUAGCAAUGAGGGUCUUAAACCCUAGAUGUGAACUUGAUAGAUCAAAGGUGAUCAUGUGCCCUACCUACAAAAGAGUUAGACAAAUGCAAAGACAUAUUUUUGGUAUUUUAGUUAGUAAAGAUGAUAAAGUACAAAGUAUAAUACAAUCACAUGGUGCUUGGAGAUCUCUCCCAAUAUAAACCCUAAUGGAUGAGGGGUAAGGAGGAUGCCAAGGUAUGAUCCCAAUGCUAAUGCAUAUGAUGAGAUAGCAUGAGGGAUCUUAGGGUCAAAAUUAGGGUCUUACAAAAACCUCUGACUGCUUCUCAAUUUUGGACACAGGCAUCUCUCGUAUUGCUUUUAUCUUGGCAGGAUCAACUUCAAUACCCUUCUCGCUGACAAUAAAGCCCAACAACUUACCAGAACGAACACCGAAUGUACACUUAUUGGGAUUCAAGCGGAGUUUGUACUUCCUCAAAUUCUGGAAUAGCUUCAACAAAUGCUUAACAUGUUCCUCUUCAUCAAUAUAUUUAGCAAUCAUAUCAUCAAUAUAGACUUCAAUCUCUUUAUGCAUCAUAUCAUGAAAAAGAGUAGUCAUUGCUCUCUGAUAAGUUGCACCGGCAUUCUUUAGACCGAAAGGCAUCACUCUAUAACAGAAUGUUCCCUAGGGUGUAAUGAAUAUGGUCUUCUCCAUAUCCUCGGGUGCCAUCUUGAUUUGAUUAUAUCCGGAAAAUCCGUCCAUAAAUGAAAAGACUUUGAAUUUAGCCGUAUUGUCUACCAACAUGUCAAUGUGUGGCAGACGAAAAUCAUCUUUUAGACUGGCUUUAUUCAAAUCUAUAUAAUCAAUACACAUACAAACUUUUCCAUCCUUCUUCUGAACAAGCACAAUAUUGGCCACCCAUUACGGAUACUCAGCGGUGACAAGGAAACAAGCAUCAAUCUGCUUAUGCACUUCCUCUUUGAUCUUCACUGCCAUAUCAGGAUGAGUCCUCCUCAAUUUCAGCUUGACUGGCGGACAUUCUGGAUUCAACGACAGUAUAUGAUCCACAAUCUCAGAAUCUAAACCAGGCAUGUCUUGAUGGACCAGGCAAACACAUCUGAAUACUCUCAGAGAAGAUUAAUCAACCCCUUCUUAACCUCUGGGCACAACCGAGACCCAAUCUUGACUGCCUUCACAUCAUCCUUAGAACCCAAGUUGACUAACUCAAUCUGCUCUUCGAAUGGCUGAAUGGCUUUUUCCUCGUGCUCAAGUAGACGAGACGAUUCAUCAGAUACUUCUUCAUCACUUCCUUCCUCGGCCUCAAACACUGGGAAUUCAAAAUUUGGCGAAGGAGUAAGAUCAUUGUAUUGAAUGGUUUUAGAAACCAACCUGCAUAAUGAUUUGAUAUUUUGAUUUUAAAGAAGUGAUUUGGUGACCAAAUAUUAUGCAGAUGGACAAUUAUAUUUAUUAAUUCAUGUUUUUUGUCAUUACCAUUUCCAUAAAAAGCAAAAAGUAAAAAUAAAACAUCAUAAACGUGGAUGAAUAGAAUUGAAUUUUAUUAAUGAUCAAUUUUGAAAUGCCAAACAAUGUUUACUUCUCCCUUAGGCAGAGGAAAAGAAUUUUCAAAAACAAUAAAAUCAAUUACUUAAAUCAAUGCAUAAUAACAGGAACAUCAACAACAGUCCAAUUAUUGCAAGCUUUUCCAUGCGUCACAAAAUUGGUGCAAUCUUCAUCUUCAUCACCCUCGAUCACGACAGCUAAGUGUUGUUCAUUACCAUGAAUGAACCCUCCGCUACGGAAACUGGGUUGCACAUCUUCAACUCUAAAUUCAGAUGAACCUUGUUGGAAUCCCAAACUGGCUCUGCUCUUGUUCUCUUGUGACCUUUAUCAUUUUUGCCCACUGAUCAAAAAUACCGUCUUCAACAAUAUUCUGAGCGUAUUUGAAGGAGGACAUUGGUGCCCCAACUCUCUUUUCCUCAGCAAUAGAUAGAGCUUGGAACGGAUUUCCAACCUCAUCCUCAGCUUCUACAUAAGAGAAAGACGACAGGUGGCUUACCAAUAAAUCCUUCUCCCCACCGACAAUAACCAGCUUACCAUUCUUGACAAACUUCAAUUUCUGAUGUAGAGUCGAUGUAACGGCUCCUGCCUCAUGUAUCUAUGGCCUUCCUAACAAGCAAAUAUAGGCCGGGUGAAUAUCCAUUACCUGGAAAGUAAUUUGGAAAUCACUCGGACCUAUCUUCACAAGAAGCUCCACUUCACCAAUCACGGUCUUGCGAGAACCAUCAAAAGCCUUGACGAUCACACCAUUAUAUCUCAUCGGAGCUCCUUGAUAUGAUAAUCUGGAAAGAGUUUAUUUCGGAAGAACAUUCAAGGAAGAACCAGUAUCAACCAAUACAUUCAAUAGAGCAUCCUCCUUGUAGUUCAUCGAAAUAUGCAAUGCUAAAUUGUGAUUUCUACCCUCCUUAGGAAGUUCCUCAUCAUAGAAGCUCAAGUUGUUGCAAGAAGUGAUGUUAGCCACAAUAUGAUCAAACUGAUCCACUAUAACAUCAUGCUCGACAUACGCUUAUUCCAAUACUUUUUGCAAUGCUUCUCUUCUUAAUUAAUCGGAGUACCUCAUCAUCAUCAUUAGGCUUCAAACCGCUGGAUUCACCAGACUGGCACUUUGGAGCGCUAGUUGGAUCAACUGCAGGCACUUCAACACUUUUACUGGAAAACACAUCUUCUACAUUCUUCGGGAACACAUGCCUAAAAACACAACCACUACGGGUCACCUUCGUAACAUCAUCAAUGCUCACAACAGAAUUGGUCGUAGGCAACAAAACCUUUUGACCAUUCUCUAACAUAGUCGUAUUAUACUGGUACGGGACAACCUUAUCGGAUGCAUACGGGAUUGGACUCGCUAACCGUAUUACCAGUGGCGAUACCGAUCUAUUGUUGACACUAUUAUUACUGCCGCUAUCAAAUUGAAUCACCACUCUCUCUGGUGUCUUGAAUACCGGAACUAUAACAUUCACAUCAUUACCCACAUGACAGGACUGGAGCAUCUGAAUCAUACCUUCAUCCAUCAACCUCUGGAUGUCUCUUUUCAUAACCACACAACCUCGGGGGUAACACUGCAGAUUGCACAACCAUCAUGGUCAUUCUCACAUUCACUCACCAUACAAAUAUCUUUGUGCAUCAUCACCAAGGACCUUCUAAUGAAGCGGGCAUCAAAUACCUUGAACUCCCCAGGACAACCAUCUACCAUGUUGACAGAAGGAUUACCAUGAGCAGGUAGUGGGUUUGCUUUGACAUUUGGAGCACGGUCUUCGAAGGAUACCAUCCCACUUUUGAACAACUUAUGGACUUCAUAUUUCAUGGGGUAAUCUUUCUUAAUAUCAUGGCCAGGAGCCCCUUGGUGAAAGGCAUAGUGAAGCUCUGGCUUGUACCACCAUGGAAGUGGUUCUGGAAUCUGCGGAGGAUUUCUCGGUUGCAAAAGGUUCUUGAGAACCAACGAUGGAUACAAUUCAGCAUAAGACAUAGGAAUUGGGUCAAAAGAGACUUUCUUCCUUUCAAAGUUUUGUUGUUGUUGGUGUUGUUGUUGUUGUAGGUGUUUGUUCUUUGCGGUGGCUGUUGUUGACGUUGUUGUUGAAUUGAUGUUGAUUGAUUGUUUGAAAAUACAACAAUGAUAGAUGAUACUUAAUGAUGGUGUUGAUGGGGUUGUUGACUUCUUCUAACACGAGGCCUCCUCUUCCUCCCAAUAGAUACUGCAUUAGUCUCGCCCUCUUUCUUUCUGGCAAACCCAUUGUCGUACUUCUUGCUGGACGAAACCUCCUCUUUAGACAACCGUCCUUCUCGGACACCUUAUUCUAACCUCAUCCCCAUGUUUACCAUUUCGGUAAAAUCACAAGGGGCAAUGGCAAUCAUGCGCUCAUAGUAAAAUGAGCUCAAGGUAUUGAGAAAAAUCUUGGUCAUCUCCUUUUCUUCUAAAGGAGGGGUAAUAUGAGCGGCAAGCUCUCUCCAUCGUUGAGCGUAUUCUUUAAACGUCUUCUUGUCCUUCUGAGACAAUGACCUCAAUGGGUCCAUAUCCGGUGCCAUAUCAACAUUAUACUUGUACUGCUUCACAAAUGCUUCACCCAAAUCGUUGAAUGUGCGGACACUCGCACUAUCCAAACCCAUGUACCACCUCAGAGCGGCACCAGUCAGACUAUCUUGAAAAUAAUGAAUUAGUAACUAAUCAUUAUCAGUUUGUGUCGACAUCUUUCUAGCAUACAUGACAAGAUGACUAAGUGGACAUGUAUUCCCAUUAUGCUUGUCAAAGUCAGGGACUUUGAACUUCAUCGGGAUUUUAACAUUAGGAACCAAGCAAAGUUUCACAGCGCUCUUACCGGACAAAUCUUUUCCCCUUAAGGUCUUCAACUCCUUUCGUAGCUCAAGGAAUUGGUCUUUCAUCUCACCCAUCUUCUCAUAAACAUCCGGACCCCCAGACAGCUCGGAAUGAUAGAUGGUUUCCUUAAGUCGAGGCAGAGUGUGAACAAUCGGUGGCGGCACAAACAUGACCGGGCUAGAUGUCGAUAUGGAAGCAAAAGUAGGAGCGAAACCCUCAGGUACAAAGUUAGGUGGCAUUCCCCAUGGGAAUCCGGCAGCCAUGGCAGGCGCAAAAUGAGCGGCAGGCACGAUUGAAGAAACAACCUCUGAUAUGACCGUCCUCUGAGGAGGAGGAGGAGUUGCAGGAGUUGGAGAAGAUUGACUCCAUCAUGGCAGUCAGGCGCAAUCUCGUCCUUCAAAUCUCUGUUCUCUUGCUCUAGAUGUUCCAUAAUCCUUAGAUGAUUGGUGCAGGUAUUAUAUCGAUCAGUCAGCUUGGCUGAAACGUAGAAGAAGAACCAAUAAGACAUCUGGCGAAAGAGAAACAUGCUUAUGCAAAUGAUGCAUGAAAUGCAAUGCUUGAUUUUUUUUAAAACUAUUUUAUUUGAAAAUAUAUAAUAAUAACAACUGCACAAUUUUAUUGACCAUAAAACCUCUUUUAUUUAUAUAAUUGGAAGGAUUACACUGAGUACAAAUUCAUAAACCAAAAUGAAAAAUACAAGAGAAAAGGAGACUAAUCAUCCUAAGGAUCCCUAACAACAAUAUCAGAAGAUCGGGCCGCAGGCGCGUACUUCCUUCGGAUGAGUCGGAUCUCGGACUCGAAAGAUGUCUUCAUCUUAGUCUUCUCAAGGAUAAGCUGGUCAACAAUAUUCUUCUAAGCAACGGAAGGCUGAGGUAUAUUAGAGGAAGAUGAAAUCUCUGGCUCUCUUUGCCUCUUCAUUAAUCGGUCUUCAAGAAGCUCAAUAAGUGCAUAUUUGUUCUUAGACUCAAGCUACAACUCCUCAUGCUUUCUGCUUAAAGCAUGGAAACUCUCUUCCCAUGUAUCCUUCUCUUGCUUCAUCUUGGCGAAUGCGUCUUCCAACUCCUCUACAUAUUGGUUAGGGAGAUUCAAUGGCUCAGCCACAACCAUAGACAUAGGUCUUUCACAAGCAUACGCCAUCUUCAAUUUCAAAGCUAUCUUCUUCACCCAAAGAGUGUAAGCUUCUAAAGCUACACAAUUGCGCGGACCAAGCUCGGAUCUUCCCUUUCUAUGCAUAUUAUGCCAAGCAUGUACAAUCUUCUGCUUCAAAUGUUGGGGAUCUUUACCCUCUUGAUAGAAAAGGCCUUCUAACAAAGUGUUAUUAGGUUUAUCUCUCAAUGGGGAACCUAAGUUGACGAUGAGCCAAAGCAGGGUUGUAGUUGAUUCCUCCUUGUGUACCAAUGAUGGGCACAUUAGAGAAUUAACCACAAUAAUCAAUAAUCUCCACACUACCCAAUGCAGAAUCAUACCAAACUAUAUCAUUAUUAGUGAGAGACAUAAGUCUCUGAGACCACCAUAAACAUUGUUUGUUUUCCAUAAAAGUAGGUGUCUGAGGCGAGUGCUAAAUAAACCACUUGUGCAUAAGAGGAAUGCAACAGACGAUAGUUCCACCACCCUUAGAAUUCCUUAGAUGCAAAGAGAAAUACAUUUCUCCUAACAGAGUAGGCACGAGAUUCCCAAUCAAGAAAAUUCUAAUGGCGUUAACAUCAACAAAACCGUCAAUGUUAAGGAAUAAGGCUAAGACAUAGAUGAGCAAUAUAAAGAUAACUUCAAAAGCAUCCACACUACCAGCUUGAGCCAAGGCAGUAGCUUCCUUGAUGAGGAACUCAAAAGUCAAUCCAAACAAUCCUCCUUUCUUCACCCAAUGAGUCUCUAUCUCAGACUUCUUCAAGUGAAGGGCUUCAGCUAUAAGAUGAGAUAUGGGAAUCUCUUCCAAUCCACUAAAAGGCACUUUGCUAGAAACAGGUAUUCCCAAGAGACGGGCAUACUCCUCCAACAUAGGCACUGGCUGCUAUCAAGAAAAGUGAAGCAAUGAUAGAAAGGGUCAUAGAACUGAACCAACACACUUAAGAGUCCUUCAACCACAUCAGCAGACGUAAUAGACAGAAGCUUCCUAUGACGUUGCUUGAAGUCCAAGGGAUCUAAUACAAAAGAUGACAGCUUCCUUAACUCUUUCAAGUCUGGACAUCUAAAACUGUACUUUUUAGUGUUCUUUCGUCCACAAUCCAUGGUCUAAAAAUAUUUGCAAAUAAGACCUCAGUUCCUUGAAAUUUUUGGUGUGAUGAAUGUUAUGAUGCACAUGAAUGCAUGAAUACAACAAUCAUAAAUAAGGGAUCACACACAAGGAAAACAAACAAAGGUCAAGGGAUGAAUCAAGUCAUUGUCAAGAUCAAUCAUCCAUUUUGGUGGAUUAUGGCUUUCACCUUAUCAACACCCAAGUUCCAUUGAUAUAAAAUAAGGGAUCACACACAAGGAAAACAAACAAAGGUCAAGGGAUGAAUCAAGUCAUUGUCAAGAUCAAUCAUCCAUUUUGGUGGAUUAUGGCUUUCACCUUAUCAACACCCAAGUUCCAUUGAUAUUGACAAGACUUGAUUGAAUCAACCAAGAAUCAAGGGUUUGUUGUGAGUCACGAGCAUGGAGUCUGGGUAAGAACCAUCCCAAAGGAGUGUACUAAAGGUAAAACUUAUAGAUCAUGUUCUAAAAAGAUCCCAGAGUCUUAAUUCCAUCUGUCAGAUAUUACAGGUUAGGAUGACUGACCCAUCAACCCAUUGUAAUACCCCAAAAUUUACCUUAUAUUUUUCUUGGAAGCAUGGGAUUAUUGUUUCACCUCAUUAGCAUUAUAUUAGGUCAUACUCAUUGCAUACUACAUUAGUGACAUGGCAAAUCAGGGUUUGAUCGACCACUCCUUAACCAGAGGGAGCCCACAGAAAGAAAGACUGAGAAUGGGACUUCAUUUUCUAUGUAUAAAAGUCUCAAAGGUCUCAAGGGGUUCCAUAUGUCUUAUUGUGAUCCACAGUUCAUCAGCGGAAGAUUCAGAGCUCUCAGAGUGUGCAUCUGCAUUUAAUCAGAAAUUAGGGUUUCAUGGCUAUCUGCAACAGGCAAUGUUUGAUUGUAAGUAAAGGGGGCUCAUUCAUGUCAUGAUUAUAGAGGCAUCUUGGCCUAGUAAGAUUCACAAUUAUCUCACAAAGAUCCAUUGACAAUCAAUGCAAUCAGUUCCUAGUCAUUUUUGCCCUAAACUAGGGUUUGGUAUAAAAUUGGUUUAUUUCUGAUUCCUUGGGUGAAACUCUUUUCCAUGGACCUCCAUAUGUCCACAAGGGUCUACAUACAAAAAAUCAGCUCUUUAUUUGAGCUAGGGGUGCUUCAACUGAUCAAUGGAGUUAGGAAUCAGACAGUUUGGGAAAAGUCAACCGUGGGGCCAAAAAAGUCAACUCCUGGCAUUUUGAAAGUGGAAUCUCAAAAUUCAUGCCUAAGGAAGCCUACAUGUGAAAUUUUAUCAAGGUUGGAUCAUGGAUUCAUCAUUUAAUCAGGAGUUGGAAAAGUUACUAAAUUUGGAAAUAGUUGACUUUCCAUUUAGGGCAAGUUUUUAUGGUUUUUGCACCCACUUUAAGCCCAUAUUCCAUCAAGAUGCAUGAUCCAUUUGAAACUUUCUCAGACAUUAAAGUUGUUCCUCUUGUUCCAAGCUUUCUAGAGAUAUAAAUUUUGUUUUAUUUGGAUUAAAAUUGAGAAAGUUAUGCUUGGUCAAAGUGGGACAUUAUUUUAGGACACUUAGAAAAUUUUCUAAGUCCAAAAUUUUCAAAAUUUGUCAAGACUUAUGGGCCAGAUUUCUUGCACUCCAAGGCAUCUUUUGAAAAUACUUUUUUUCAUGAAAGUUGUACCUUGCUAUAUCCUCUUUCACAUCCUUUUGGAAUCAUCCCAUUUGGAUCAUUAGUUUGAAAGAUACACUCAUCUAAAGUUGGUAUCAUAGACUGAAUUUUUUGACAGCAUUUAGGCCAAACUGGCCCAACCAUUCUGCAGUUGUGAGAUCUGCACUUUAUGGCCAUUUUUCACCUUUGUCCACUCAUCAUUUCAAUGUGUGUUCAACAUGAAAGAUGUUAAGCUCCAUGCCCUCUUUCUACUGUUUGCAUUGCCUUGCCAUUUGGUUACAUACUCAUCAAGAUACAAGGUCUUAAAGUCACCCUGUUGGACUAUUUUUGUGCUGACUACUGUUUGCAUUGCCUUGCCAUUUGGUUACAUACUCAUCAAGAUACAAGGUCUUAAAGUCACCCUGUUGGACUAUUUUUGUGCUGCACAAGCCAAACCAAAUCAGACCACAAAACCAACCAACACGCUUUUUACCUCAUUUGGCCAUUUGCUUUAUGUUCACUCACUUAUGUUUUGCUACAUUUAAAACUUGCUCAUACCACCCCACUUUUUGCAUCAUUUUGUCAUGAACCAAACCAAGCCUUUCAAGCCCAUUUUAAACACUUUGAAUCCAACAUAUAUAAGCUUAGAAACCCUAAUCUGAGAGAGAGGCUGCUACAUUUUCGACCUAAGCAAGAGCAAGGCAAGUGGACAAGGUUGCUCUCUUUCCAUUUCUAUUCACAAGUUUGCAAAGCACCUCAUUUUCCAUUUUCCUCCAUCUUCAAGGGGCAGUGGACCUUACAUCCACCAGGUAAGCAUCUUUUCACUCUCUUCCAUGGUAAUAUUUCAUGCUCACACCAUGCCAAGCACCUCAUUUUCCAUUUUCCUCCAUCUUCAAGGGGCAGUGGACCUUACAUCCACCAGGUAAGCAUCUUUUCACUCUCUUCCAUGGUAAUAUUUCAUGCUCACACCAUGCCAUGCUUAUGCUUACUCUUUGUUUAUUUCAUGUUAUCCAUCCUUGUUUCGUGUUAUGUUUCAUUUAUGCCAUGCUUGUUCCAUACUUAUUUUCCAUGUUAAUACCAUGCCAUGAUUGUUUGUAAAGCCCUCAACAUGAGGCAUGUUCAUUAAGUUGGAGUUUGUGACAUUAUUUUUUUGUUGAAUCCGGGUGCAUGAAGCUCCUUUGCUGUUCACUUUUCUCUAUGCUAAGGCCAUUAUUUUUAAUGAAACAAAGCACCAUUGUGUUCUACUCACUUUGUACUAGAACUUUGGUUUUUACAUCUUGCCAUUUCGUGAACCAGAGCGCGAGCAAUGUUGGUUUGAAGAUGAGCGAGAGUAGGCUGCGUUUCACGCGUUUCCAGCAUGCAUUUAAGGCUUUUCACAUUUGCAUGAAGGAUUGGGAUGUGUCGCGCCAACAGCCAUUCGAUCCCAUGUGUCCCUUGUAAUCUCAACUGUCCGCCCUUCUUUUGUCCUGUAGUGGCUUUAAAUGAAACCUUGUCCAAUUGACCAGCACGUUCACAUGUUUUAUUAAAAUGAACAUUUUAUUAUGCAAUGUCACGCUGAAUAAUACUUGGGCUGGGCUUAGCGCCUGCUAUCCGCCCCCCACCCAUCAAACCCAAUUCCAUUUCAUUUUAUUUGCUUUUUCAAUUCAUUUUAUUUUUUCUGUUUUGUUUUUUAAUUCUUAAAAACAUUUUAUUUAUUCAUAAAAAUAUCACAAAAUACUUUUCACUUUCCUUAAUGUUUUAUUUAAUUUCCUUAAUUUUUAUUUUCAUAUUUUAUUUAAUGUUAAUAUUUUAUUUUAAUUAUUUGUUUCAAAUAGUCCAUUUUAACACACAUUUUUUCAUUAAUUUUAUUUUCAUGACUUAAAAUUAUUUUUAGAUUUUGAUUUUUGGGAUGAGGGUUGACCAAUGUCUCAUGGUCAACCUGAACCUUUCUUGGAAUUUUAUUUCCCAUUUUCAUAUUAUUUUGGAUUUAUUUUUGACCUAGUUUGCUUGGUUGACUUUUCAUUUGACUUCUAUUUCAUUUCAAUUAAUUUAUACACUAAUUCACAUUAUUUUUGAAAUCUUUUUAGGGGAUGAUGAUGUCCUGACCCCACCCUAGUUAGUUUAAUUUUUCAUAAUUUUAUUGAUUAAUUUACUAUUUAUUCCAUAUUUUUCAAGUUGACUUGACUUUUCAGUUGACUUUUCUAUGAUUGAUGUUUGACUUAGGGAUUGCUUAGGGAAAUUCAAGAGUAUUUUGAUCCUCCCUUGUUUAUCUCAUAUGCCAUGUAUUAGAGGCCUCUCAUCUUGAUUUUAUUUGAUCCUUGUAUCAUUUCCCGAUUAAGUUAUUCAGUGAUCCUUUGUGUGCAUAGUUUCACCUGUCUGUUUCAUCUGAUAUUUUUUAUGCUUGUUUCUUUCAUCCAUGCUUCCAUUGUUUGAUUGUUUAACAUGUUUAUACUUCUCAUGCAUUGUCUAAUGCACAUUCAUUAAAUUCUUUGAUUAUUUGAUUUGAUCAUAUACUUGUUUAUAUAUCUUAUUGUUUGAUUGAAUGUGGCCUACUUGUAUGAUGUAUGAGGCACGUAUUUUUAUUGUGUGAUUGCCAUGAACAACCCCCAUUCAUAACAAAUGUACCCCUCUUCCAUUGAAGUGUAUAAUGUUUAUUCUUUCAUUCUUUAUUCAUCUGUUAAUACAAGAAUUAAAACUAACACCUGAUAACUAUUUCAAAACAAGAUCAAAACCUCGAUCCAACGUCGAGUAAUCAUUUUUUCCAAACUUAACACAACCAGCACGUAUUCAUUCAUCCUUUUGUAAGUCGAUUGCUUCAUGCAUCGCCAUUUCUCUUGUAAGUCGAUUGCUUUAUGCAUCGCCAUUUACCUGUAAGCCGAUUGCUUCGUGCAUCGCCAUCUACCCUUUACCCCACUCCUUUCCUUGCUCCAUUCGUCGAUUCUUGUUCCGUUUAGGUAGCACCCAUUAGGUAGAACCCUUUGUAUGAUAACCUAGGUAGAAUUCCCUCAUUCUUUGUAUGAUAACAUAGGUAGAAUUCCCAUAUUCUUUUGUAUGAUAACUUAGGUAGAAUUCCCUUAUUCUUUGUAUGAUAACAUAGGUAGAAUUCCUUUAUUUCUUUUGCAUGCUAACAUUAGGUAGAUAUUCCCAUUUGUAAAUCCUAACACAUAAGUACAUAUUACAUGACAACUCUAGGGCAGAGCUUCCCCAUUCUUUUAGACCUUCCGUGCGUCUCCGAUCCUGUGGCAUGUCACUCCGUUCUAUUGCAAAGAGGUAACUGCCUAAGACUCGAUUCAGCGAGCUGCGACACCUACUGCUACGACGUGAACACAUUGCCCACUCUCCUUUGACACAACUGGUGUCUUCCUUUUUAAGUCCAUGUUCAGAUGGCAAUCCCUAUGUAGCCGAACUAGGACAACUCUGAUUCUCAUGUUCAAAUGAGAUACGUAGGCACAAGAUGAGAUGUCUUGCCGAGUUUGACUAACGACUAACAACUAAUCCUUGCUUGCUUUCGCCCUUAUUGCGAUUCUUUUCUCUCUCCCUCGUUGCGAUCGAGACCUUCCCUUUCUCUUGCCCUAGUUGCAAUCGAGACCCUUAUUCCCAUAGUUAGCUGAACUACGUUUUACUCUGAUUCUCAUUCCAGAUGAGAUACGUAGGCAUAAGACGCAAUGUCUUAACGAGCACACAUCUCUUUAACCCAUAGGUAGCCGAGCUACGAAGACUCUGAUUCUCAUAUUAAGAUGAGAUACGUAUGCAGUGGAUGCGACAUCCGUGCGAGUCAUUUUAUUUUGAACCUUUCUUUUAGUAAAUAGUACAUUAGAUAUACCUAUACCCUUUAGACAAGAACAACAAGAGUGGAUCCCGUAGAGUACUACGGAUGCGUAGGGGUGCUAAUACCUUCCCUUCGCAUAAUCGACUCUCGAACCCAAGAUUUGGUUGCGGGACCUUGUCUUUUCCUUUCCUUUCUUCAGGUUUACUUCGAGCGUUUCCUUUCCCUCCUUUGGGAUAAAUAACGCACGGUGGCGACUCUUCUGUCAUUUCUUUUCUCGCCGGUUGUCUUUUCGCACAUCUAUUUUUUUUAGGCUGCGACAGCUGGCGACUCUGCUGGGGACCGAACCCAGAAUAUCUGGUUUCCCUAAGCGAGUCCCUCCUAGAUUUUGUAGGUUCCUUGUUUGUUGGGUGUUUAUUUCUUUUGUACAGUUAUUUAUUUUCAGCAUUUACCUGCUUUAUCUCAUUGCAUUGUGUACAUAUCAUUGCCUGUAUCUGCUGUAUCUGUGGGGUUGUUUGUUUUGUUGGGGUGGGAUGUUUUAUGAGAGAUAAGCCCACUACCCAGGCUUGAGCGUACACACAGGCUUUAGAGUGGAUAGUCAUGAGGCUUGCGUGGCAUGUUGCUACGUUAAGUCGUUCAUGAGACCCACAUCCAGACGAGGUUUCUUUUGGAUAUAUUAUGUCCUAUGGGUGUUCCAUAACGACAGGUGUUCCUCUAGAAAUCGUCGACUCUGGUGACCAUUUCCCGAGAACUUAGUCGAGGCCUCUCCUCCGAGACGCGUUUAUGUUAGCUCUGAUGGGCGCAUUCUCGCUGCGCAAUCCGAGGACCCCGAGACUGGGAACUUGCUUUAGGAUAUCCUAUUGAGGGGAGUCAGUGGAGGCCUUUUGUCUCGUAAUAAUGCCAAACCUUCAGUGGUAAACGUAUUAUUCUUGACUGAAGGGCUGAAGCUGAUGAACUUCUAUUCUUAGAACCUACCAGUGAGGGGCGGGCUAAAUUCAGGAAACCUUAACCUUCAACCAACCCGGUUUUCUGGAGCGGAGCUUUGAUCUCGUUAUAUAUUCUUCAGUGGGUUUCUCUUCAGACAGUGCAACCUGACAGCUAUCCGAGCAGAUACAACAGUCUUGAUUUCUAUGUCACUGCAUUGCAUCACAUCAUUUACAUUCACAUCAUUUAAUACAUGUUUAUCUACUUCUAGGGUUUAUAUCUUCCUCUUGAUUCCGGUCGGGGUUUUCUGGUUCUCCUAGGAUGGAUAUUGGCAGAAAGAGACACGUCGCCUACAAGUUUCAUGUGGUUUGUUUGGAGCCUAUUCAACAGCUGAUGAAGUUAUUGGAGCACGAUUCUCUAGAAGGAUUCCGGAAGGAUUACGGUUUGAUUCUAAGUUUCGUCACAAUUCUCUCCAAAGAUCAACACGAUGCUGUCUUUACUCUACUGCAGUUCUAUGACCCUCCAUUGAGGUGUUUUACAUUCCCAGAUUAUAUCUUGGUCCCUACUUUGGAGGAGGUUGCUAGUUUUCUCAGAGUUCCUAUCAAGUCACAGUUGCUAUUCUACAGUUCCGAAUUUCUGCCCGAUAUCAGCAUGGUUGUUUCGGCCACAUAUUUGGGGAAAUCAGUCUUGAAGUCUAAUAUGUGUCAGAAGGAAGGAGUCAGUGGUUUUCAUUUGAGUUUCUUAGUGGGGGAAGCCAAGAAGAAGCUUGAAGAUGGUGAUCAAAGGGGUUUCAAUGUUGUGUUGGCUCUUUGUGUGUAUGGGAUUGUCCUGUUCCCUAAUGUUGCAAAAUUUGUGGACACAGACGCAAUACGCCUCUUCAUGUUGGGAAAUCCGGUGCCGACCUUGCUAGGAGAUUUCUUUCAUUCAGUGCAUCAUAGGAGUGAGAAUAGAAAAGGAGGAUUGGUGAAUAAGUGGUUCAGUUCCCACCUACCCAAGUCAGGAGCGUUCGUUGAUCUCAAGGACUCGUUGAGUUGGUCGAAGAGACUGAUGGGGAUAAGAGCUAAAGAUAUUUCUUGGUGGUCAGACCAGAACUUGCUCCGGGAGGAUAUCAUUCACAGUUGUGGGAACUUCCCGAAUGUGCCAUUGGUAGGAAGAAGUGGAGGUAUCAACUAUAAUCCUUCUCUAGCAGUCAGACAGUUUGGAUAUGCUUUAAGAACUCCGCCUUUGGAAAAGGAUGUGGAAGAAUCUUUGUUUUUCCAUUCUUCAUCUGAUCUGACUGUAUCCCGUAAGGCAGCUGAGGCCUGGCUCAAGGUGAUCAAGAGAGGAAGGAUUGUGCUUGGAAAAGGAGAUUGCAGGACUUAUCCUCAGUAUGAAGAUUGGCUUCAGGGAAGAGUUGAAGAGUUUGGUCUGCCGUUUCCUAUUGAAGAACCUUUGUAUCCACCUACUCCUGAGCAGUCAAAAUGAAGAUUGGCUUCAGGGAAGAGUUGAAGAGUUUGGUCUGCCGUUUCCUAUUGAAGAACCUUUGUAUCCACCUACUCCUGAGCAGUCAACAAUGGUGAGCCGAGAGGAGUAUGACAAAUUGAAGAACGCCAUGGAGGAACUUCAAACUGAAAACUCGGAGUUGAGUGCAAAGUUGCAAGACUGUAUGCAUCUAUACCAUGAGGCGGAAUAUCAGAAGGGGGAGGCUAUCAAAUUGCGAGAGGAAGCAGAGAAGAAAUUAGCUAUGAAGGUGGACUUCUUCAGGAAGACUGACAAAGCCUUGGGAUCAUCCAGUUCUGAGUUGAGGCGAGUCAAGCAGCAGUUAAUGGAUGCCCAUGGUAAGUUAGCUGGGUGGCAAGAGCAGUGGGAUGCAUUUUCAGCUUCUCGGAAGGCGAAAGAGGAGGAGAUGGUGGCUGAAUUGACUGGUCAAAUGGAAAAAUUGAAGACUCAGCUGAAGGAUAAGAACAAUGAGCUUCUGUGUGCCCGUUCAACUAAUGGUUACGUCACAGAUCAAUUCAACAAGGCUCAAGAACAGAUUGAAGAACUCAAGGUGUUGGCAGGUUUGAAGAGGUUUAAACUUGAAGAGGUGUUCGGGGAGGAUAAUGAGAAUUACUACUUAGAGCACAUCAACGAACUGGAUGGGAUUAUUCACUAGAGGAAUUUGCUUAUCCGGCGUUUGACAGAAUCUCCAGAUCAUCCUGACACAGUGGCACUACUGGCUGAAGUGAGGAGAAGUCCUUAUGGGUUGUAUACAGGGAGAUGAUUCCUGGUUUCUAUUCCUCUCUUUACUUGUUGUGUCUCUUUAUUGCUUUAUAGUGAUGACUUGCAGGCUUGUUGUGGGAAUCCUCUUUUGAUAUACUGUUGGCUAAGGCCUUUCUCUUUGAACUCAUUUGUAUGAAGGUUUUCUCUCUAUUGCAUCUGGAUCUCAGAAGCUUAUCCACGACUCGGUCUGCUUGCACUUUUAUCUGAUGUGAGACAGGAAUCAAGGGGGUAAAACACCCUUUGGAAUUGAUAAACAUGUCAUUGCAUUUACAUAUUCAUUUGCAUGUCUUGCAUAACAGGUACCGCUGCGGUGUUCUCAUAUUAUUUGGUGUUCCACUAGUAGGAUAACUGACUCAGGAAUUCACCGGUACGGUACUCGCAGAAAUCAGCAGAGAGCAAUGGAAGACCUACAAGCAGAGCUCGCCGAGAUGAGAAUCUGCAUGACCCAAUUCAUGGAUGUGGUUCAGGGAGUGGCUCAAGGACAGCAAGAGCUCAGACAGAUGAUACAAAGGAAUCCCGCUACUACUCAACCAGAGACGGUGACUGAUCCUCCAGCUGGAGAGGUUAACGGACCCAGUGGACCAGGGCCUACCCCGAUCCCACAUGUCAACUCUGGUCAAUAGCCCGUCCAUGAUGAUCAGGACGAUCAGUUCACCUUGAUGCAGGAGGAUUUUGGCAUGGGCCAUGGCAUGGACCCCAUGUUCAGGAGAUUAGAGGAGAGGCUGAAGGCAGUGGAAGGACAGAACCCUCUGGGGGUAGAUGUUGCUGACUUGGGGCUGGUCCCAGGUGUGAGGGUGCCACCAAAAUUCAAAGUUCCGAUAUUUGACAAAUACAAUGGCAACUCUUGCCCAAAAACUCAUGUGCAAGCCUACUUCCGUAAGAUGGUUGCAUACUCCGAUGACGAAAAGCAGCUUAUGUACUUUUUCCAGAAUAGCCUAGCUGGGGCAUCCCUGGAAUGGUAUAUGAGGCUGGACAGAGCCCACAUCCGUUGCUGGAGGAAUUUGGCUGAGGAUUUUGUAAAGCAGUAUCAGUACAACGCUGAUAUGGCACCGGACAGAACCCAACUUCAAAACCUGUCUCUCAAGAGCAACGAAUGCUUCAGAGAGUAUGCUCAUCGCUGGAGAGAGACAGCUUCCCAUGCUCAACCUCCUAUGUUGGAGAAGGAAAUGGCCAACAUGUUCAUGAACACUCUGCCCAGACCUUACUUGGAGCGUCUGGUGGGUUGCAAUGCCUCCAACUUUGUUGAUGUAGUCUCUACCGGUGAAAGAGUGGAGAACUAUUUGAAGACCUGCAAGAUCCAGAAUGGAGUUAGAUCAUCAUCAGGGUGAAAAAGCCGUUCAUUCAGGGAGAGAAACGGAGAGAGGGGGAUGCUAACUCUUUGUCUUCAUAUCAGAGCAGGGGUUUCAGAAGGAACAGUUUUCAAAAUUAUCAUCAACAACCGUAUGUUGCGGCUAUGACCAUUCCGGCUGCGGCACCAGUGCAACAACAACAACCACAACGUCAACCAACUCAAUACCAACAACAACAACAGGGUAACAAACCCGCCUAUCAACAGAGGCAAAAGAUGAUGGAUAGGCGUUUCGACACUCUUCCAAUGUCGUACACUCAGUUGCUUCCUAGCCUUUAACAGCUACAACUCGUGCAGUUACGCACUUUGGCUCCUCCUGUUGGCAGGCUUCCAGUGGGCUAUGAUGCCAACGCUAGGUGUAACUUCCACUUUGGGGCACCUGGCCACAAUAUUAAGAACUGCAAAGCUUUUAAGCACGUAGUUCAGGACCUCAUCGACUCGAAGGCUAUUAACUUUGCGCCGACUCCUAACGUCGUCAACAAUCCCAUGCCGCAGCAUGGUGGUGCAAAUGUUAAUAUGCUGGAAGGAGAAGCCAGGUCCGUAAAGGAUGUGUUGAAGUUGAAGACUCCACUGUUGGAGAUUAAAGAACACCUGCUGAAGGCCGAUGUUUUCCCCGGUUGUGGGAAGGGUUGUUUGGAUUGUGCUACACAUAGCAAGGGUUGUCUGAAGCUGCAACAAGGUAUCCAGGCCUUGCUUGACAAUGGUAUCCUCCAAGUUGAAGACUUGUCUGUUCAAGAGAUUGUUGAAGGGGUUGCUGGAGAGGUGUUUGAAGAUGCUGUUGAAGAGUUCACAAAUGAUGAUCCUUUUGAUUGUGUAAUUCCUGAUAAUAUAUUUAAUUUUGCUGAUGUUGUUGCUGAUAUCCCAAACAAUGUGGUUGAUUCUGAUGUAAUUGAACUUGAUUCCGAUGUUUCGGAUGUUUAUGUUUCAAUGAAUGAGAUUUAUGAGUAUGACUGUGGUGUUGCUACUAUCACCAUUUUCUAUCCAACUGCUCAGAUCAGUGUGCCAGAAGCACAACCAGUGCGACCGUCCACUAUGACCAUCACUAGCCCUGGUCCUUUACCUUUCACCAGUGAAAGAGCCAUUGCUUGGCAUUAUGGGGGGAGUGUAUAUACGCACGAUUAUGGAGUGGAGCAGCCACUGAAAAUAGAGGAGGUGCAAAAUCAGAAGGUUGAAUCUGAGGUGGAAAUAGAAGGUCCCGUAGUGGACAAUGUCAGUGGAAUCGGGCGAUUCACCAGGAGUGGUAGACUGUUCUCACCACCGGUUACCCAAGCCGAUAAUGCUGACGCCGCGGUGAAAGCCAAAGGCAAACAAGCUGUGAAUGAGGGUACUUCUGCACCACAGGCUGGUUCUGAGCCUGCUUUUACGAAGGAUGUGGACGAGCUUUUGAGGAUCAUAAAGAAAAGCGACUACAAGGUACUCGAUCAGCUGAUUCAGACACCGUCCAAGAUAUCUAUUCUCUCACUCCUGCUAUGUUCGGAGGCACACAGGGAGGCACUUCUAAAGGUCCUUAAUGCUGCUGUAGCCGUGUAUUCGUCACCAUCGGAAAUAUUAACUAGAUCCGAGGUAAAUCAUACAAUGAAUCGUGUCGCCACCGCACUUCUAUUUAUCCAAAGGAAAGGUUAGAAAGCGAACAAAAACCUAAAAGUUUUACAAACAAAACUAGUAAAAGAAGGUCAGAGAUCUGGGUAAGGGGGUUGGUUACGCAAUUGGAAGGUGUUAGGAACCCAAAACGUCCUAGGUACUCCUAGGGAGCCCUUUUCACAACUUGUUAUAGAAAUUAUUUGUUUAUGAAAUUUUUAUUGUGCAAAAAUGAUUGAAGAGAUGAGAAAAGAAUGUACAAGUUAUUUACAUUUUUGUGUUUGGAUGGAUGAAACCCAUUGCCUACGUGCCUUUCAUGAAAGAUAAGGAUCAAAACACCGUAGUUCGGCUAAAAGAUUUCAAAAAGAUGAGUGGGUUGAUUUUAAACAAAAGCCUUAAGGUCUUUCGUUAUCAAAGGGAGAAAACUCAACCUAAAUCAACAACAAGUCCACCAUGUGAGAACAGAAAGCCUUAAGGUCUUUCGUUAUCAAAGGGAGAAAACUCAACCUAAAUCAACAACAAGUCCACCAUGUGAGAACAGCUUCAACAUGCUAGUGAGGGGUUAACCCUAUAAUAAGCAGGGAAGUCUUAUAGUUCAAUCACUAAGGACAAAAGGUGAGAUUCACAUCAACCACUAAGAUAACUCAGAUAUAUGGCUAAUGCAUGAAAACUUGAUUAAGAAGUGGACAUGGGCCACAAAAGACAAUUGAGUGAGUGGAAUUAACCAAUUAGAAGUAUUCACAAACAUGUCAAAGUUGAUUAGAGAUUCAAUUCACAAUGAGUGUUAUGAAAAUAAAGUUUGAAAAUCAAAGGCAUAAGGCCUAGGUUUCUAGUUUGAAAACAAGUCAAAUGUUUGCACAAUAGUUUUCUGGUUUUGGGUUAAGGAUGAAAAUAUGGAUCAAGGUUAAGCAUGCAAGAGGUGAUGGUUAAGGGACAAUGCCACAAACAUGGUUACUUUCUCAAGAUCAUAGAAAUGAUCCAAGUAAGUUCCUUUGGAAAAGGUCAAGCACAAGGGCAAAAAGCAAGAUAAAGCAUGGUAUCAGAGAAAAAUAAGCAAGAGGAAACAAGAUGCCAAUAGCUGGUCUUACACUCGACUCCAAGGAAAUGGAAUGCCAAUCAAUGGUCUUACAUCCAACUCCUAACAACACAAAGGAAACAAAUGCCAAUAGCUGGACUUACAAUUGACUCCUCAAAGGACAAGAUAAAUGUCACAAAGUAUGACAAUGAUCAUGGUAAUGAUAUACAAGUAAUGCUCAAAAAUAUAGAAACAAUGCACAGAGGCACACACAAACAUCAAUGCACAGAUGAACAAACAAUCACACACUAUACACAAACAAGAGGCUUCACACAAGGGUGGGCUUUAGUCAAGGGGUCAUAUCAACCUCGACAAACAAGCCAGCUGUAUAAGUGUAAAUAGAUGCUCUUAACCACUAACAUUGAGAGUUAGGGUGAGAGAUGAAACGGGAAAUGAGGAUUAGACCUCAUGGAUCUUAACCCUGGCCUGGGUGAGCUCAAGACACUAAAGUGUGGGGAUCCAGAAUGAGGAAUCCUAUUCCACAUGACUGACUCAACAAGAUUUUGGGUGUUUAUUCAGAAGCAUCAGCACAUAGUGCGAGCAUAAUGAAAGACUCAACUGAAUAGCAGGGGAUUGAUUGCAAAUCCCUUCUAUCUGCCAAUUGCCUCUUCACUCAAGAGGUCUUAAUAUGUAACCAUGCCUCAUUGAGGUCUUUAGCACAAAAUUAAACAAUCAAGAACAUGGCCUCUUAAGGAGGGCUUCAGACAGGUGCCUGCCAAAGAUAGCAGGACUUCCAGACUACAUGGAGUUAGAGAAGUUACCUAAGUGGUAUACCAACCACAAGCAAAGCAAAGCUCAAGUAAUGAGCUAAAGCGACUAAAGUACCUGUACAAAAGGCUAGUCAAUUAGUAACUCAGACAGAUAAACAGAAAACAGACAAAACCAACAGUGGUUCCCAAUAUGUACAUAAAGCAAGUCCUAAAAGGCAAUCAUUCAAGUGAAUUCACCACCAAAGGACCUACAACACAAUCAAAGUUAGUUAACCAAAUUAACUUGCAUCUCAAGUAAUGAGAUCACAUCAAUCAUUAUGGCUAAUUUGCUUGAACCUGAAAUACAAAGCUCAAAAGGUGAGUACAAACCACUAGUACAAAGACUAUGGUCAAAGGCAAAGCAAAAAGUCAAAACAGAAGUUGAUUCUCAACAUGAAGCACAUUUAAUCAAGCAAGAACAUGUCCUAAAAAGGACCAAGUCUAAAGCAUCAAGCAAAGUCAUCACGUGAGCAAGAUAUGGCAAAGGCAAUUACAAAGCACACAAUUGGACAUCAAGAAUCAACAUUCCAUAUUAAAACAGAAAUGGAUCAAACAAUCAUGAAUUUUUUUAUGUGUGCAUAACAUGUUAAACACAAGCAUCAUGCAAAAUAUUAGAAUUAUAAGAGAUCAAUUGACAUAUCAAUGAAAAUGAACAAGUAUGACAUAAAAUUGUGUGACACACAUUGUCACACCAUACAUUCAUGUGCCUAAAACAGAGAUGAAAAAUGAUAAAAAUGCACAACCAAGCCUCAAAAAUCAUGUAACAUGUUAGGAAUCAACAUGCCAAAUUUCAAAUCAAUUGGCCAAUGUAUGAGCAUUUCACAAGAGAAUUGGUACAACAUGUCACACUUGCAUACAUGCUCAAAUAACAGUCCACAAUGAAAAAACCAGAAAUGAUAAAAUCAGGAAAUCACAACCACAAAAUAAUAGACAUCCAAAUGAACAUGUAGCAAAAAAUUGGAAGUGAUUUGGAUUAAUUUUCAAUUUAUUAUGAUUUUUUGAAGUUGGAUAAAAAUAUUUGAAAUAAUGUGAAUCAUGCACAUGAUAAUUGGAGGGAAAUGAAAUUGGAUUGAUGAAUUUGAAAAAAUGCUGGAGCGGAGGAUCGAACCAUGUACAUGAAAAAAGAAGCGCUGAAACAAAUAAAUUCCAAAAGUGGCACAGCCAGGAAUCGAAGGAGGUGUGGCGUUUUGUACAAAACGCAGCGUACCACUUAAUGAAGUGGCACGCCAGUCAACAGGUCAAGCCGCGUGGGAUUGGUCAAAGAGAGCGUGGCCUAUCAAUUUGACAACAGGCAAAGGCGUGGCAGCUGACAAGGCAAUAAACCCUAGCAUUUAAACACAGCGGCGGCCAGCGGUGGUUUCCACCGUCUUCUUCAUUGAGACGGUGGUGCUACAGUAACGUGUUCAUCAAAAUUCUCCAGAAAACAACAAAAAGCAUACCAAUCGAAAGCUUAUUCUAUGUACAACACGAAUCCAGGCUCAAUUCACAGUAAUUCCUCAUAACCAGUGCAAAUCGAAGAGAAAACAUAAUUGUAUUCAAAACUUCUACUCAGCAUAACUCAAUCAAUACUCAACCAUUUCAAAUUCUAAAAGCAUCAGGAUAAUCAGCAUGAAAAGAUCUACCAUAACAUGUGCAUAAAAUGGAGAAUCAUGAGGUUCGAAUUCUAACCUCUUUGAAGAGAAGAAGAUGAAAACAAGUGAUUCAAGUGCUCAAACGAUCCAGAUCCACUCCUAUGUUGAUGACUUGAAGCUUUAUGUAUGAAUUGAAGCUUGGAAAGGCUUGGAUCUUGAUCAGAUUGCAACUUCCAUCUUCAUGUUCUUGAGCUAAGUGCUCAAACGAUCCAGAUCCACUCCUAUGUUGAUGACUUGAAGCUUUAUGUAUGAAUUGAAGCUUGGAAAGGCUUGGAUCUUGAUCAGAUUGCAACUUCCAUCUUCAUGUUCUUGAGCUUGUGCAGCUUGAUUCUGGCUCGAAUUCUUCAAAUCAAUUGCCAAAUCCUACUCAAUGACACAUGAAGAACACGAUUCUACAAGAAUUUUGAUGAUUUAGAUGAAGAAUUUUGAAAAUUGAAGAGAGAGAAAUUUGAGAAGGAAGUGAAAAAUCUAGAUCUAGAAUGUGAUUCUUCAGAAUUCUGUUAUGAUUUAGGCUUUAUACUCUGUCCUAAUCACCUUGCUAAUCAAAAUUUGCAUUGGUUAAUUGAGAUUAAGAUAAAAUGAGGUGCAUGGCAAAAUAAGUAAAAACACCUAUGCAUGGUAAGGCACACGUGAACAGUGCCAUAUGAAUGUGUAAUUUCACUUAAAAUCAACUCAUGCACAUAAUUGGAUUGGAAUUUAGCUCAUGUAAUGCACCAAAUUUGAAAUAUGCAUUUUCCCUCCAAAAUGAACAUGCAUGGACAAAUGAUCAUGUGAUUAAAUUUCAUGUAAUGCAAUGUUGGAUUUGGAAAAUAUAUGUCAUGACAAGCAAUAUGCAAAAAGAGGGACUCAUUUUAGAGCUUUGGUUCAAAAGUUAUGGCAUGUUGAAGUUCCAUGCACACUUGGCAAUCAUUUGAUCAUAAUUCUUCAACCAUUCAUCAGAUGCUCAUGAUCUUAGGCUUUUUGGAAAUGGGAGAGAAAGAUAUUCAUCUUUCAUUUUCAACAAAAUUUCAUUUGAAGCUUCCUUGAUGUUGGAAAGUUUGGUUGAAUGUGAACCAAAAACUUGCUAUUUUUGGAAACUUGAAAUUAUAGGUCACUUUCCAUUUUGGGAAACUUUUGACUUGACUUCAAAAUCUUCAAUAUGGAUGUUUGAAAUGAUGAAUAGGCAUUGUUUGAACAUGAAUGAGGAUGUUAAGAUCAAUUCCCCAACCUCAAAGCCUUCAAUUGAUGUUCAGUUGAUUGUAUUGGGCCUCAGAUGACCUGAAAAUGUCUUGAUGAAUUUGAACCUCCACCACUUGGAAUUUUGCUUCCAAAUGAAACCAUAGCUCAUAAAGCUCAACAUAAUCACAUGGUGCAUGUCUCAAGAAAAUACCAUCUGCCUUCUCUGUUACAAGGGAUGCUCAUGAAUGGCUUGACCUGUGCUUGCUUGAUGCUACAAAACAAAAUGUUAGAUGACAUAUUUUUGUACUUUUGUUUAAUGAUUAAACAAGAAAAGCAAUGAUAUACAAUGCAUACAAUGCCUGGUGAUCUCAAACCACUCAACAGGAUAUCCCAUCCAAAGCGAAAGAAAGCAAGAAGCUCAAAAGAUCCUUGAGGCUAUGUAAUGCAAUGAUAUGAUGCCAUGGGGGAUCUUAGGGACAAAAUUGGGGUCUUACAGAUGCCCCUAUUUAAGGUCAUUCAAGCCGGAGAAGUGAAGGUUAAAAUCUUCAUCUUGACGCGGUAGAAUGGGCUUAAAUAAUAACAAAGAGACAAAUUUUGGUCCCUAAGAGACCUCAUGGUGCAAAUGUAUGAAUGCAAAACAAACUAUCUCUGUGGGAAUAUAUGUCCACAAAGAAGAAAAGAACGAAUGGAUAAAAAGAACAAAUCCCAUGAAAAGUUCAUUCUAUGGGGGAAAGAUCCUACUGGGGAACAGAGGAUCAAAAAUACGUGAGCAGGUCACGAUUUAAAACUGGGGAAAAAGGGUUUCCAGAGGGAAUAAAUCCAUUGGAAAGGCUCGAAACUGACUCGAAGGCGCACGUAUUGGGGAACAUGCCAAUACAGCAGAAUUAUCCACAAAGGAUACUUCGGAUAAAAUCUGGAAACAGACUGAGUAAGGAUGAAUAAAAUAUCCCUGCCGGGGAAAAUGCAUGUAUUGGGGAAUAUUCCCAAAACAGCAAAACUAUCCACAAAGGAUACUUCGGAUAAAAAUCCGGACACAGAGGGGAACAAUCCACUAAGGGACUCCACUGGGGAUGUCUAAAAAGACAAUCCUGGGGAAAUAACAGGAAUGAGGUGUUACCGGUUACUGGGUAACAAACUCAGGAAGAAAUGAAUAUCAAAGACCGGUAUGAGGGUGAGAGAUAUCAAAACUUCAAACAUCUGAGGAAGACCUGAAAAGGUAUAUUUCGACUCAGGAAAAUAUGACUCCACAGGGGACAAACAAUCACAAAAGGGAGCAGAAAGGAAGGAACACCAAAGAUACCGGGUUGUAGGUAUGUAAAAGGUGACCGACCGAGACGUGAAUUGGUUUGUGUUCUAAAACACUCAUCAUCCUGAAGAGAGCUGAAAAGCAAACUUGUUUAUAGGAUGGACAUUCGACUCCACGAAAGUGAAAUACGAAUCUUACUCUGCUGGAGAAAACAAUCAAAAGAUUGACCAAAGAGUGCAUGAGAUAUAUUAUCUAUUACCGUCAAAACAUAGAUAAUAUACUCGCAUGGAAGAUUAUCCACAACCGGGUUGUAAGUUGUUAAAAGAUAAAUCGACCGAAAGCGUGAAUUGGUGUGUGUUCCAAAACACUCAUCAUCCUGAAGAGAGCGAGACGCAAACUUGUUUAAAGGAUGGAAUUCGAUUCCGAAACAAAGGAAUACGAAUCUUACUCAAUUGGGGAAGGACAAAAGGCUUCAACCAAAGAGUGCAUGAGAUAUAUUAUCUAUUGCUGUCAUAAUGUAGAUAAUAUACUCGAAAAGGAAGAAUCACCAGGGAUACCAGUUUGUAAGUAUGUAAAAGGUGAUCAACCACAGAAGUGAAUUGGUGUGUGUUCCAAAACACUCAUCAUCCUGGAAGAAAGCUGAAAAAGCAGACUUGUUUAUAGGAUGAACAUUCGAUUCCUGAAUAAAAAGGAAUACGAAUCUUACUCAGCUAGGGAAGAAAAAACUCGACCAAAGAGCGCAUGAGAUACAUUAUCUAUUGCCGUCAAAACAUAGAGAACAUACUCGCAUGGAAGAUUAUCCACAACCGGGUUGUAAGUUGUUAAAGGAUGAAUCCCCCGAAAAGAGAAACAAUCAUUACCAAUAACAACAGGGUAGACGAAAGAUGACUCACUGGGGAUAAAUUGCAAGCAUACGGCAAUUAUCCAGGAGACAUAUCACCGGUUACUGGGAGAUAUGCUCAAAAGGGGUAAAAAUGAAUAUUCGAUUCCGCAAGGAACAUGGAUCUUACUCAACUGGGGAAACACAACAGGCUUCGGCUGAAGAGUGCAUGAGAUAUAUUAUCUAUUACAGUCAGAACUUAGAUAAUAUACUCGCAUGGAAGAUUAUCCACAACCGGUUACUGGGUUAAUAAAGGAUAAAUUGAUCGAAAAGAAAGGCAUCGGGAUACCAAGACUAGGUAUAUAAUGAUGACCAAUCAAAGGUAGCAACAGACAUUACCGGCAAAAGGGUAAAUGAAAGCUGACUCGCUGGGAAUACAUUGAUGAAAAUCAAUGAUCCGGGGAAUACAAUCACUGACAAACGGUGAAAGGAUCCGCUGGGGAUAAAAUUGCUAGCAUACAGAAAUUAUUCACAAGAAGGAGGGAAUAUCAAGACCGAAUAUUGGAUAAUGAUAACCACUACAGAGGGGAUUACAUCUACCGAAUGCUGGGUAGAAAACCACGGAAGAGUAACCGUCAUCGUUUAGGAUGAACAACAAGGUUAACUCUGCACAGGGAGAAAAUAGGAUUUACAACUACCGAAUACUGGGUAGAAGACCAAAGACUUAGCUGAGGAUAAGGCGAAUGAUUGCCGAUUACUGAGCAAUUAUAUACCGAAUACUGGGUAGAAGACCAAAGACUUAGCUGAGGAUAAGGCGAAUGAUUGCCGAUUACUGAGCAAUUAUCCAUCUAACCACAGAGAAGCACAAACUCCGAUGGGGAGAAAAACAACAACAUAGGAUUUACAACUACCGAAUACUGGGUAGAAAACCACAAAAUCCGCCAUCAACCAGAAUGAACCACAAAGGUUACCUCUGCUAGGGGAUGAAAGUAGGAUUUAUAACUACUGAAUACUGGGUAGAAAACCACAAAGAUAGGACUUACAACUACCGGUUACUGGGUAGAGGCCAAAAAAGAUAGGACUUACAACUACCGGUUACUGGGUAGAAGCCAAAAAAGAUAAUUCCACCGGGGAUAAUUUGAAUGAAUUAUUCAUUUAUACCACGGGGAAGCACAAGAGACAGUUGCAAAAAAGGCCAAUUCAGGAUCAAACUAAAAAAGAAAACUGAAUCAAGACUCAUCCUAAUGAGGAUAUAACUCAAUAGGAAAAUCCGUCCCAAUAUAUGUGUUGGGAGGAAACGGAAACAAAUCGUCGUCCACGAUGAUGUAUCUCAGUGGGGAAAUGGCAGGAAAGGAUAGACACUUUCUGCUUAUGGGGCUGACUCUAAAUGGGGAGAUCAGACACACCGACAUCUGCUUGGGGAGAUCUACUGGGGAGAUCUAUAUCGCCAAUUAGCAGGAGACAACAAGCAAAAGAUAUAUGGCAAAGAAUGCAACAUGAAUAUCUGAAUGUUAUGAUUAUGCAUGGUUAUGCGUGAUUUAUGCUUGAUGAAUGAUGACAAACAGACAUAUCUAACACAAACAGGCCCAGGGAACAAACGCCCGGUACUACACCACAGGAGAGAAAGCCAGGAUCACCAGAGAAUAAUCAAUUCUGACGGGAUCAAGAAACAGCAAGAUCUCUGCAAGGGAUGAAUCAUCAUAAAUAAAAUCCACCACCACAAAUCUACUGGGGAUUUAUCCGAGGAAGAGAAGGAGAACUGGGGAUCAACCACCAAACAUCAAUCCUUCUGAAAUACCACAUCUGCUGAGGAGGAAUGAAUCACUGCUCUGCUGAAGGGAAGGGAGGUGAAAACCUCAACAAGCACUCUGAAUGAGGAGGAGUCAUCACAAAGACUCUGCUCAACAAAAUCUGCUCGGGAGAAAAAUCUCAACAGAAACUCCGCUUGGGGAGAAACCCCAACAACAGUCUGGAGAAAGAGGAUACAGCCAAUGCCAGGAAUAUGAACAAAAGUCUUACCCUGUUGGAAAUCAUGCCACCCUCGGGAGAGCACUGAGAAUCUCUUAGGUAUCCUUUCAUCAUUGUGAAUGUUCACUUUGUUUAAAAACAAUUUUGAAAAAGUUUAUUUGUUUGAAACAAUGACAUUUUAUCAAUUAAAACAUGCAAAACAUUUGUUGAAUUGAAACAAAUAAGAGUGCAAAUAAUUGGAUAAAAGCUCAAAUUGAUUUGAUGGAAUGGUAGCCUGCAAAUGGCAAGAUCCAUAAAUCGAUAUACAAUUUGAAUCGGUGAUAUAUUGGAAGAGGGCUACAUUGAACAUAAUGACAUUUCUCUACCAAUUUGAAUCGAUGUUAUUUGAAGCUUCAGUUGAUGAUGACUGAGCGAGAUCUCUGACGAAAAGACAGUGUGUGAAACAGAAAGUCUUGUCAGAUGCAGUUACUUGCCAAUCCUAAUUCUGCCUGAUUGCCCAGGAUGAGGUACUCAAUCUAGCGGGAUGCAAAAAUCAUUUUUUUUUAUGUCUCUAAUUUUUGCCUGGAUCGCCCUUCGGGUUUUCAAUCCACCGAGACACUCAUUUUGCCUAAGUCGCCCUUUCGGUUUCAACCUAGCGAGCCAUUCUUCUUUUUUUUCUUUUUCUAGGCGAAUAUUUCUUGACUACAUCUGAAUUCACAGGACGAGUGAAUCCUCCCCAUCCAUAGUUGUGAGCAUCAAAGCUCCGCCUGGAAAAGGCUCUCUUGACAACAUAUGGCUUCAUAGUUUGGAGUCCACUUGCCCCUGGAAUCGGCGCGAAAGACAAAACUUUCUUGAGCCAUGAGGUCACCUUCCCGGAACACACGAGGCUUGACCUUCUUGUCGAAUGCUUUCUUCAUUCUCUGCUGAUAUAACUGACCAUGACACAUGGCAGUCAAUCGCUUCUCUUCAAUCAGAUUCAACUGUCAUAACGACUCUGAACCCAUUCACCAUCAGUCAAUUUGGCUUCCAUCAAGACUCCCAUUGAUGGGAUCUCCACCUCUACUGGGAGACAACCUCCAUGCCGUAACAAGAGAGGAAAGGGGUUGCCCCUGUUGAAGUGCAGACAGAUGUACGAUAUCCAUGCAAAGCAAAUGGCAGCAUCUCAUGCCAAUCUUUGUACGUAACAACCAUCUUCUGGAUAAUCUUCUUGAUAUUCUUAUUAGCAGCUUCAACAACCCCGUUCAUCUUAGGUCUGUAUGGAGAAGAAUUAUGGUGUGCAAUCUUGAACUCAGCGCACAACUCUUCCAUCAUCUUAUUAUUCAGAUUAGAUCCAUUAUCAGUAAUGAUCUUAUUUGGCACAUCAUAACGGCAAAUAAGCUGAUUUUUGAUAAACUUCACGACCACCUGCCUGGUCACAUUCGCAUAUGAUGCGACUUCAACCCAUUUGGUGAAGUAAUCAAUUUCUACGAGAAUAAACCUGUGUCCGUUGGACGCUUUCGGUUCAAUCAUGCCAAUCAUGUCAAUUCCCCACAUGGAGAAGGGCCAUGGUGAUGAAAUCACAUUCAGAAGUGUCGGAGGAAUAUGAAUCUUGUCCGCAUAAAUUUGACACUUAUGGCAUCUCUUCACAUAUUUGCAGCAGUUAGACUCCAUUGUCAGCCAAUAGUAGCCUGCUCUCAACAUCUUUCUAGCCAUGGCAUGUCCAUUGGAAUGACAUGGUUUACUUGGGAGUACCUGGAGUCAGUAGUUCAGGUCUGCUUCGUGUCUAUCCACGCAUCUGAGCAGAACCAUGUCAAAGUUUCUCUUGUAAAGCACUUCGCCAUUGAGGUAGAAACUGCCUGACAAUCUCCUCAAAGUUUUCCUGUCUUUCACAGAUGCCCCAAGUGGGUAAAUCUGGCUCUGAAGGAAAUUCUUGAUAUCAAAAUACCAAGGCUUAUCGUCUUUAACUUCUUCAACUGCAAAUAUAUGAGCUGGUCUGUCCAAGCGCAUCACAGUGAUAUUGGGAACUUCAUUCCAAUACUUCACCAUAAUCAUGGAAGCAAGCGUAGCAAGCGCAUCUGCCAUCCGAUUAUCUUCUCGAGGAAUAUGAUGAAAGUUAACUUCAGUAAAGAACGUUGAAAUCCUCCUCACAUAAUCUCUAUAUGGAAUGAUGCCAGGCUGAUUCGUCUCCCAUUCACCCUUGAUCUGAUUGACAACGAGGGCUAAAUAAUCAUACACAUCGAGAUGCUUGAUCCUCAGAUCGAUGCAUUCCUCCAAUCCCAUAAUACAGGCUUCAUACUCAGUCAUAUUAUUCGUGCAUUUGAAAGUUAGCCUUUCUGUAAAAGGAAUAUGUGUGCCCUGAGGAGUAAUGAUUACUGCCCCAAUACCAUUUCCGUACUGAUUUACAGCGCCAUCAAACACCAUCGUCCACCUGGAACCAGGUUCUGGACCUUCAUCAAGUGUAGGCUCAUUGCAAUCUUUCAUUUUCAAAUACAGAAUCUCCUCGUCUGGGAAGUCGUAAUGAACUGACUGAUGAUCUUCAAUCGGCUGGUGUGCCAAAUGGUCAGCCAAGAUACUACCUUUGAUAGCUUUCUGAGCUCGAUACUCGAUAUCAUACUCAGAUAAAACAUCUGCCAACGGGCAAUUCUCCCUGUUAAAGCAGGCUUCUCGAAGAUAUACUUGAUUGGAUCCAUUCUGGAUAUUAACCAAGUUGUAUGAUUUAUCAUGUACUGGCGUAGACGCUUAGCGGACCAUUCUGGAUAUUAACCAAGUUGUAUGAUUUAUCAUGUACUGGCGUAGACGCUUAGCGGACCAAGCCAAAGCACAACAUGUCUUCUCAAGCAUUGAGUAUCGAGACUCACAAUCAGUGAACUUCUUACUGAGGUAGUAGAUAACACACUCUUUCUUUCCUGAUUCGUCUUGCUGACCAAGGACGCAACCCAUGGAGUCUUCAAGAACAGUCAGAUACAUGAUCAAAGGUCUUCCUUCUAUAGGCGGAGACAAGAUCGGAGGUUCAGACAGAUAUUCCUUGAUACUAUCGAAAGCUUUCUGGAAAUCCUCGGUCCAAUCAUGAGACUGAUCUUUCUGAAGGAGCUUGAAUAUCGGCGCACACGUGGCAGUCAUGUGGGAUAUAAAUCUGGAAAUAUAAUUCAAGCGGCCAAGAAAACCUCGGACUUGCUUCUCAGUUUUGGGCGCAGACAUCUCUUGUAUUUCUUUGACCUUUGCAGGAUCAACCUCAAUACCUCUCUCGCUGACUAUAAAGCCCAAUAACUUGCCAGAACGGACUCCAAAUGUACACUUGUUCGGAUUCAGAUGAAGCUUGAACUUCCUCAAACACUGAAAAAGCUUCAACAAGUGCUCUACAUGCUCAACUUCCGUUCUUGACUUAGCAAUCAUGUCAUCGACAUAGACCUCUAUCUCCUUGUGCAUCAUAUCAUGAAACAAGGUAGUCAUAGCUCGUUGAUACGUGGCUCCGAAGUUCUUCAAACCAAAGGGCAUCACUCGAUAACAGAAUGUUCCCCAAGGUGUGAUGAAUGUUGUCUUCUCCAUAUCCUCGGGUGCCAUUUUGAUCUAGUUAUAACCGGAAAAUCCGUCCAUAAACGAGAAGACUUUGAAUUUAGCUGUAUUGUCUACCAACAUAUCAAUGUGUGGUAGAGGAAAAUCAUCUUUCGGACUAGCUUUAUUCAAAUCUCUAUAAUCAACACACAUCCGGACUUUUCCGUCUUUUUUAGGUACGGGCACAAUAUUGGCCAUCCAUUGAGGAUAUGUAGAAGUCACCAGAAACCCCGCAUCAAUUUGCUUCUGAACUUCCUCUUUGAUCUUCACUGCCAUAUCUGGAUGAGUUCUUCUGAGCUUCUGCUAUUUGCUUCUGAACUUCCUCUUUGAUCUUCACUGCCAUAUCUGGAUGAGUUCUUCUGAGCUUCUGCUUCACAGGCACGCACUCAGGCUUCAAAGGCAGGAAAUGUUGCACAAUAUCAGUAUCUAGACCUGGCAUGUCUUCAUACGACCAAGCAAAGAUAUCGAAAUAUUCUCGUAGCAAACUGAUCAACCCCUUCUUAACAGACUCUUCAAGGAGUGCCCCAAUCUUCACUAUCCGAACACAAUCUUCAGACCCCAAGUUGACUGUUUCCAGAUUUUCGAGAUGCGACUGAAUGAUCUUCUUUUCAUGCUCAAGCAAACGGGAAAUCUCAUCAGGAAUCUCUUCAACAUCAUCUUCCUCUGCUUCAAAUACAGGGAAUUCAAGAUUGGGAGAUGGCGUUGGAUCAUUAUGUUCAAUGGGUUUAAGAAUCAACCUGCAUAAUGAUUUUGGAUAAUGAAAAGCUUUAGAAUUUAAACAAACAAAUCAUUAUGCAGAUGAAAAGAUUGCUUUUAUUCUUGUUUAGGAUUUUUUGUGAUCACCGAUUUCAUGCAAAAGCAAAAAGUGAAAACAAUUGAAAAACAAAUGUUUAACAUGCAUCAAUUGAAUGAAAAUAUCUUUUUAUAUAUGAUGCCAACAAUGUCAUCACUCCUCCUUUUGGCAUGAGAGAAGGGUUUUUAAACAAAGCAAAGAUAUUACGCUGACUUAUGAACGGCCGUAGGAACAUCCACAACGACCCAAUUGUGGCAGACCCCACCAGGGAUAACAAAAUUGUCAGAAUCCUCUGCAUCCUCUUCCAAGAUAGCAGCAGCUUCUUCAGCUUGAGCAGCGUGGAUGAAACCUCCACUCUUGAACAACCCUUUCUCAUUGAAGACCCCAGAAGAAUAGCCAAUGCCAGCCCGGGACUUGUUAUCUUCAAGCUCAAUCAUUUUUCCUAAACCAGCAGUUGCACCACAUUCGAUGGCCAACUUCGCAUCUUUAUAGGAAGAAAAUGAAGGAGACUUCUUCUCAAUUGGCUCAGCAAUAGAUAAAGCUUGGAAUGGGGUUCCAACUUCAUCCUCAGCAUCAAUGUAUGAGAAGGAAGACAAGUGGCUAACCAGGAGAGCUCUUUCUCCCCCUACCACAACCAGUUUUUUAUUCUUGACGAAUUUCAGCUUCUGGUGUAGGGUGGAUGUCACGGCGCCAGCCUCGUGAAUCCAUGGUCUACCAAGGAGACAGCUAUAUGAUGGGUGAAUAUCCAUAACCUGAAAGGUGAUCUGGAAAUCACUUGACCUCGUGAAUCCAUGGUCUACCAAGGAGACAGCUAUAUGAUGGGUGAAUAUCCAUAACCUGAAAGGUGAUCUGGAAAUCACUUGGUCCAAUCUUGAUUGGGAGAUCAACUUCCCCAAUCACAGUCUUGCACGACCCAUCAAAAGCUUUCACAACAACACCACUUUGCCUUAUGGGAGGCCCUUGAUAUGACAAUCUAGAGAGAGUGGUCUUCGGCAAUACAUUCAGAGAUGACCCAGUGUCCACCAGUAUGUUGGACAUGGCGUCGUUCUUGCAAUUCAUGGAUAUAUGUAAAGCCAUGUUGUGCUCUCUUCCCUCCUCAGGGAGAUCAGAGUCACAGAAACUCAAAUUGUUACAAGCAGUAAUGUUUGCAACAAUGCUAUCGAAUUUUUCGAUUGUGACAUCGUGAUCGACAUACGCCAGAUCCAAAACUUUUUGCAGAGCCUCCUUAGGGGUUCUGAAUUCAGAAGCAAAGAUAGCACGAAUAUCUUGGACGGCGUUUGUAGAAGUUGAUCUACAACAUUGUACUCACUCUUCUUGAUGAGCCUCAGCAUCUCAUCACAGUCUUCAUUCACAGUGCCACUAGGGCCAACAGAAGUAAGAGUCUUUUUUACAAAGGAGGAUUUAACAACAGGUGCUGGAUUCGGAGGAUUCACCGCAUUCCCAACCGGACGCUCAACAGAAUCAGCCCUAGCCUGAGGCUUAGGAGGCGCUGAAAACACACGACCGCUACGGGUCAACCCACUGACAUCAUCAAUGUUCACAACAGAGGAUGAAGGCAAAGGCACUUCUCUCCCAUCUUCCACAGCAACAGCACUGUAACGAAAAGGGAUUGCUUUAUUAGAAGAAUAAGGCACAGGGCCGGCAAGCUUGAUAAUCAGGGAAGGAGAAACCUUCUGCUUACUACCAUCAUAUUUAAUGAUAACAGGCUCAGGUACUCGAAACACUGGAGAAAUGACGUUGACCUCUGGCUCAACCUCGUCAACAUUCCUAUUCUGGAGGAUCUCAAUGGUUCCCUCAUCCAGCAAUUCCUGAAGAUCUCGACGCACUUAGCGACAACCCAAUCUGUUAAUAGAGCAGAUUCGGCAUUUGUCAUGGUCGUUCUCCAGAUGACUGUAGUCACACAGCAGACGGUGCAACUCAACAAGAGACUGUCGAAUAUGGCUAACAUAUUUGACCUUGUAUUUGCCAGGGCAACCCUGGACCAUGUUAACAGAUUUCCCAUGCUCGGGCAAUGGGUUCUUUGUAACAUUAGGGCCUGCGUCCUCAAAGCUCAGAAUACCGCAUCUCAUAAGGUCUUGAACCUUAGUCUUCAGCUGAAAACAAUUCUCUAUGUCAUGCCCGGGAGCACCCGAAUGAUAAGCACAACGAAGAUCGGGCUUAUACCACCACUGAGGGUUAGAAGGUAUAGCCGGAGGAUCUCUCGGAGUAAUCAAUUUCCGCUCUAUCAAAGAGGGAUACAGUUCUGCAUAUGUCAUCGGAAUCGGAUCGAAAGUGAUCUUCUUCCUCUCAUAACUCGCACUGGCUUGAUUACUGUUGUUGCGAGGUUGAUAGGCCUGCUGCCGAGGGCGAUGUUGUUGUUGCUGAUACUGUUGGGACUGCUGCUGUUGAUUAUUGUGCUGAUAUUGCUGAUUGUCACGGAAAACAAGUGCUACAUGAGCCACCUGAUGUUGAUUACCGGCUGAACGCACAGGCUUCCUCCUCACGGAGGGUCUUCUGGGUUUAACAUGGGAUUGCACAGCAUGUGCCUCCCCAUCUUUCUUCUUCGCAAACGCCCCAUAACGUUUGGUAGAAGAGCCUUCAUCUCUGGAUAGCCGUCCUUCACGGACUCCUUCCUCUAGUCACAUCCCCAUGUUCACCAUUUCAGUGAAAUCAGAGGGAGCACUAGCGAUCAUCCGCUCAUAAUAAAAUGAACUCAAAGUAUUAAAAAAGAUUUUGGUCAUUUCUUUCUCUUCUAGCGGAGGAGUAAUCUGAGCUUCCAACUCACGUCACCUCUGGGCGUACUCCUUGAACGUUUCCUUAUCCUUCUGAGACAUGGCCCUGAGCUGAUCCCGAUCGGGAGCCAUAUCAACGUUGUAUUUGUACUGCUUGACGAUGGCUUCGCCAAGGUCGUUGAAGGAACGGAUGUUCGCACUGUCCAAACUCAUAUACCAACGCAGUGCAGCACCGGAUAGACUGUCCUGGAAAUAAUGGAUAAGCAGUUGAUCAUUCUCAGUUUGAGUUGACAUCUUCCUGGCGUACAUCACCAGGUGACUGAGAGGGCAAGUAUUCCCUUUGUAUUUCUCAAAGUCAGGGACUUUGAAUUUCACCGGAAUCUUGACAUUGGGAACCAAGCACAACUCGGCAGCAAAUUUCCCAAACAAAUCCUUUCCUCGAAGGGUCUUCAAUUCCUUGCGCAGCUCAAGGAAUUGGUCAUUCAUCGCGUCCAUCUUCUCAUGAACAUCUGGGCCCUCAGACGGCUCAGAAUGAUAGAUGGUGUCGUCUACUCUAGGAACGGUAUGCACGACAGGAGGAGGAACAGCAAGGAUCGGGCUAGAUGCCGGCAAGGAAGCAAAAGUUGGAGCAGGAAUCUCAGGCAUAAAGUUGGGAGGCAUCCCCCACGGAAACCCGGACGGCAUGGCUGUUGGCACGAAGUGGGCACUGGCAGCUGGCACUGUCGAAGAGACAAUCUCAGAAAUAACAGUCCUCUGGGAAGGAGUUGCAGGCGUCGGAGACGACUGAUUCUGAGCAGCCAGGAAUUGCUCCAUCAGAGCAGUGAGUCUGGCGACUUCAUCCUUCAGCUCACGGUUCUCUUGCUCGAGAUGAUCCAUCACUCUUGCAGAGUUGGCUCUGGUGUAGUACCGAUGAGUCAGCUUGUCUUCAAAAUAAAUGAAGAGCACAGAAUUAGGCCACAGACAAGAAGACCGGAACAAACACAUGCUUAUGCGCAUGAUGCAUGCAAUGCUCGUGCAUAUGAUUUAUUUUUAUAUUUCAAGGAACUUUUAGGGUUUUAUUUGCAGAUUUUGAAAUGUUAAACAUUUUGAAUUCAAUGGAAAAAAAUCUCAUCAAAUAUCAUCAAGACAAAGAAGUACAACAUUGUCAAUCAUAUACAAGGGAAAAGGAAAAUAAACAUCCUAUGGAUCCCUAGAAGCCCGAGACGCAGGAAGACGAGAUGCAAGAAGCCUCUUCACCUCUCUCUCGUAGGCUGCUUCCAUAUCUGCCUUCUCCUUGGCGAGUCGAUCAUACUUCCUUUUCCAGAAUUUGGAAGACUGAGGAAGUAAAGAAGUCCAGGCAUCAUCAGGAUCAUCAAUGACUUGAUGCUCGAGGAACUCAAUCAGAGCGUCCUUCUCCUUGAUCUGCUGCAGCAACUCUUCACGUUCAUGGAUCCAGGCACGCGAACGGUCUUCGUCUCUCAACUCCUCUACUCCUUGAUUAGGGAGGGUUGAAGGCCCAGCCAUAAUCAUAGGUGUAGGUCUCGGAUAGUGUUAAUACCUCAGGAUUGGCAUUAAUUUUAGAAAACAAAUAAUGUAAUCACCUCUGUUGUUUUAAUAUGUUGGGUUGAAGAAAUUCAACAUCUGGACCAACAUGUCAUGUACGAUGUCACGACAUCAGGUCUGUGACAUCGCACAUGUGUNGAAGAACUUAGAACCCGGAGUUGUGUAGUAUUGAACCGAGGGGCGUACGCCUAUUGGGACAAUACGAAGACUCCACCUAGAGUAGAUCUGUUUGGAGUUCCCAUCACAAUAUGGCUAGCCCAUCAUUCCGGUGGAGGUUCUAAACACGAUCCGUGACUCUAGGGACCUCGCCUUAAAACCAAGUUUUGUUUUCAUAAUCGGAGAUUAUGUAGUAUUGAACCGAAGGGUGUACACCCUGUUCGUACAAUACGAGAAUCCCACUUAGAUUAGAUUAUUUCAGAACUCCCAUCACAAUGUGGCUAGCCCACCAUUGCGAGGAAGUUUUGAACUUGAUCCGUGAGUCUAAGUUCCUUCCUUGAAAACAUAACUUUAGAACCUACCUUUGGGGAAUUUCUUGUGAUCAGGAAAACCCAUACUUCUUCCUGUUAUUCUGAUGUACUCGACAUGUGGAUAAUCUUGAGUCUGUAUUCCUCUGUGAAAAAUCAUGGCAAAAAUUCAUGCAUUUGCAUAUCAUCAACAUGCAUUGCAUUUCAUCUUCCAGAAACAAAAGCUUACACCAUACUCUACCCUUUGUCCAGUAAACAAUGGCAAAAAUUCAUGCAUUUGCAUAUCAUCAACAUGCAUUGCAUUUCAUCUUCCAGAAACAAAAGCUUACACCAUACUCUACCCUUUGUCCAGUAAACGCUGACUACUCGACACCGGUACGAGACAUGCCGCAACUACAAGAUGACACUCGAACAGUUGGAAGCAAAUCAAGUUUCAAUGAGGACUGACAUCGACUCCAUGCAAGCAAAGAUGGAUCGCUUGCUAGAAACUAUGUUGCUCUUAGCCCAGAAGGAGAAGAAUGCUGAGACUAAUGUUGAAGCUAGGAAAGUUGCUGCCCAGUUUGGAUCGCCAUCGCUCAGUAUCCCUGGAGUGAUUGACCUUGAUGGUAACUCUAAUCAACCUAGAGAAGGACCGAUCCACAUUCCUGUUCCCAUGGACAACGUGAACCCCCACGAGCAUUCUGCUACAUCUGCUCGACACGGAUCAGUGAUGGGUGAUGAAGAUCCAUAUGACGCCUUCUUCAUGCCACAACUUGUCAAACCUGUUGUUGGAGGUCUCCCAGACCCAGCUGUUGAUAGACUCCAUGCUUUGGAGGAAAAAUUUAAGUCCUUGGAGGUUCACACUACUCCCGGUUUGGACGCCGUUGAUAUGUGCUUGGUNNNNNNNNNNNNNNNNNNNNNNNNNNNNNNNNNNNNNNNNNNNNNNNNNNNNNNNNNNNNNNNNNNNNNNNNNNNNNNNNNNNNNNNNNNNNNNNNNNNNNNNNNNNNNNNNNNNNNNNNNNNNNNNNNNNNNNNNNNNNNNNNNNNNNNNNNNNNNNNNNNNNNNNNNNNNNNNNNNNNNNNNNNNNNNNNNNNNNNNNNNNNNNNNNNNNNNNNNNNNNNNNNNNNNNNNNNNNNNNNNNNNNNNNNNNNNNNNNNNNNNNNNNNNNNNNNNNNNNNNNNNNNNNNNNNNNNNNNNNNNNNNNNNNNNNNNNNNNNNNNNNNNNNNNNNNNNNNNNNNNNNNNNNNNNNNNNNNNNNNNNNNNNNNNNNNNNNNNNNNNNNNNNNNNNNNNNNNNNNNNNNNNNNNNNNNNNNNNNNNNNNNNNNNNNNNNNNNNNNNNNNNNNNNNNNNNNNNNNNNNNNNNNNNNNNNNNNNNNNNNNNNNNNNNNNNNNNNNNNNNNNNNNNNNNNNNNNNNNNNNNNNNNNNNNNNNNNNNNNNNNNNNNNNNNNNNNNNNNNNNNNNNNNNNNNNNNNNNNNNNNNNNNNNNNNNNNNNNNNNNNNNNNNNNNNNNNNNNNNNNNNNNNNNNNNNNNNNNNNNNNNNNNNNNNNNNNNNNNNNNNNNNNNNNNNNNNNNNNNNNNNNNNNNNNNNNNNNNNNNNNNNNNNNNNNNNNNNNNNNNNNNNNNNNNNNNNNNNNNNNNNNNNNNNNNNNNNNNNNNNNNNNNNNNNNNNNNNNNNNNNNNNNNNNNNNNNNNNNNNNNNNNNNNNNNNNNNNNNNNNNNNNNNNNNNNNNNNNNNNNNNNNNNNNNNNNNNNNNNNNNNNNNNNNNNNNNNNNNNNNNNNNNNNNNNNNNNNNNNNNNNNNNNNNNNNNNNNNNNNNNNNNNNNNNNNNNNNNNNNNNNNNNNNNNNNNNNNNNNNNNNNNNNNNNNNNNNNNNNNNNNNNNNNNNNNNNNNNNNNNNNNNNNNNNNNNNNNNNNNNNNNNNNNNNNNNNNNNNNNNNNNNNNNNNNNNNNNNNNNNNNNNNNNNNNNNNNNNNNNNNNNNNNNNNNNNNNNNNNNNNNNNNNNNNNNNNNNNNNNNNNNNNNNNNNNNNNNNNNNNNNNNNNNNNNNNNNNNNNNNNNNNNNNNNNNNNNNNNNUGCUCAACAACGUCAACCUAAUCAGCAGAGGGCAAGGAGGCUAGAAAGACAUUUUGAUCCUUUGCCAGUAUCAUACAGCAAGAUCCUCCCCUACUUGCUAAAGGAUGGAUCGGUUGUUCUGAAGGAGCUAACACCUGCAACUCCACCAUAUCCUCCAGGCUACGACGCCAAUGCUCACUGUGAGUAUCACAUGGGUGCCCCAGGGCACACAAUAGAAAACUGUAAGGCUUUCAAGCACAAGGUUCAAGACUUGGUUGACAGUAAAGCACUUACAUUCACGCCAGUGAGGCCAAAUGUCGCAACAAAUCCCAUGCCAGCGCAUGCAGAGUCGAGUGAAGCUCGAAGAUAAUGUUCCUCGCCAACCUGAUCAACAGAGCAAACUCCGAUGAAGAAUCAAGAGAUGAAGUCUGUUGCUUUGAAUGAAGGCAAUCAUUAUGCCAUUUUUACCAUUUUGCAUUCUUGUAAUUUGAUCUUGUUUGUUUUAGUACUGAAUGCUUUAAACAUUGUCAUUUGUAUUUGGUCUUAUUAAUGGGAUGAUUAUGCAUGCUUUGAACCAAUCUUUCAUAUUCACUCAUCUAUCACAUUCACAAAUCACAAACACAUACUUUUUCACCUCACUUUCUUUCAUCACACUAUUGUUAGUAAAUGUUGGAAGGAGGAUGACGAAAACAAAAUACUCAUAAUUGCUGAUUGUAUGCUUUCGGAUAAAACCUUGCUGAUGAUGUACAGGCAUUGUUUCAAAUCCCCAAACACUGGAGAGAUAAGAAGUUAAUCCCUAGUCAACCACUUCGAGCCUAGAAGUAGGAGUUUCUUUCGGAUCUACAAACCCUUACGCUUAACCUGGGGCAGGGUAGAAAUCCCCAAACACUGGAGAGAUAAGAAGUUAAUCCCUAGUCAACCACUUCGAGCCUAGAAGUAGGAGUUUCUUUCGGAUCUACAAACCCUUACGCUUAACCUGGGGCAGGGUAGUGUUCAGUUAAUCCGAUUACGCAUCCAAAUUACAAGAUGAAAUAUCCCAUGCGAGGAUCAACCACACAAUAUUCUUCACACACAUCCUGAAGUGUCGAAGGAACCAUACAAAUCCAAAUUUUAUGUCGGUUGUUCUUCAAUGACCAAUGGCUUGGCAAUCACAAUUUCCAAAAAAAAUCAAAAAAAUCAAUCAAAGAAAGAGCCCGCUAAGUCCAACACCCUGAAAGGAGACUUAGGCAAAAACAGGGGCAAUCCCGAUGGAUUAAAGCUUCAAACAAAGCGGUCCAUGCAAAAGUUAGGGAUCAAAACAAAAAACAAGAGAGACAAUGAAAGUCCUCAACAAAGCAAAACAAGAUUCAGUGACCACCAUACUAAAAUCAAAGGGUCACCGAUAUCCAAAAAACGAAAUAAGGUGGCUGCCAUUCUAAGAAACCUUGAAUCACCAUCUUUGUCCUUACACCUGCAAAAGUGAAUGUGUGUGAGUUAACUGAACGUAGGAUUGGGAGAUCAUCAUGAAGAAGGGGCGGGUUAAAAUAAACUUUGAGCCUUAUAUCCUUUUGUUUCAAUAACCAUGAACCAAGCCACGUUACAACCUUCAAAAGACCUAAUUGAAGUAGGGUUUAUUCUGAAAGCAUAUUAUAGCAAGGUUGAGUAAACUGACUCCUAGAUAUUUGCUAAUAUUCUCUUCUCACCAUAUCACUCACACACCAGCUAAAUCAAGCACCGCGAUUGGACACAUGAUCCACUCGUCAUACACUACCACAACACUCCCGAGUGAAUGAUUGUUUUUCAAAACUUGCAUAACUAUUGCAUUAACAUCACCAUUUCUUGAAUAAUAAUUCUUAAUUGUCAGUCAGCACUUGACAUCAAAGAAAUUCCAACAAGAGGCAAAUCAAGGGGCACUUGAUCGUUGGUGCUGACACGAAUCAAGACCAUCCUAUGAAUCAGGGGCAUGACAUCUUUUGAUUACAUUGACAUAAGAAGUAGUCAGUAUAAGACAAAUCUCCAAGCAUCAGUUGAUCAGGGAGGAAAAGCACUUCAAUAUUCAACCAAUCAGGGGCAAGUCCUUCAGAGGCUAAUCAGGGGCAUACCAUUGCCAGAAUCAAACAUUGAAGGAAUCAAACUCAGAUCAUGUCAUGGGAUAAUCACUUCUAAAGGUUUCCUUUCAAGGAGAAUUCCUUUGAACACCUUACAACCAGGGGCAAGACAGGUUGCAAGGGGCAAAUUCCCUUCAUAUCUUCAAGUCUGUCAAGCAGAUUUCAUCAGACACUAGUAAUUGCUUGAAUCCACAACCAAAAUGUCAAAAGUUCAUACCAGUACAAUAUCAUACCUUGACAAGAAUCCUUGGGGCACAUCAAAGGCAUAACCAACAUGCGUUGAUCACGUCGCUAUGCUCAGUUACAGGCUGGCCAAACACUUCAGAAGAAGAACUGAGAUCUUCUCGAAGACAAAUACAAUAUAUCAGCAAGAAGUCAAACUUGGGGCACCAAGAGUAUCCGCAUCUAUUGCGUGUUCAUCACAUCAUCAACUACCGAGUGUCAGGAAGUCAGAUCCUUUCACCAAUCAACAGCUCAAUCCACAUCGACAAUUACCAAAAAAACCAAAGCCCACCUUGCUGACACCCACACAAAAACAAAUACAACCAACACUGGUUUCCAAAAAAUACAUUGCCUUUGAAAAGGGGGGCCAAUCCCAAACAAACCAAUCAUCUUUUGCAUUCAAACAUGCAUCUCAUGCAUCACAUACAUCACCUCAUACAUAACGCAUACAUAUCAUUCAUGUACAUGACACAAAUCAAAAUCCAAGGUGUAGUCGUAGGCAUCCAGGCCAACCCUCAAUUGAGUCAUUGUCACUCCCUCCAAGUGAGUUCCUACCCUACUAUCGGGCGUUCCCCAUUGAGUUACAUUCUUCAACAUUUUGUUGAUAAGACGUUAUCCUCAGCUAAGUCAAGCAAUGUUUCUCCAAACACUUACCUUGUUUCACGUUGAGCAUCCCUCAAUGAGUCAUUUCCUGUGACCUUUUGUUGACAGAAAUGGCAUCUCUCCAGAGAAUAUUGGUUUUGCAACCUUUUGUUGUCGAUACCCUAAGCAAGUCUUAACCAGUAAAGUUCCAACAAUACCCAACAAGUCAGGUUUACUGAACUUUGUCAGUAGCCUUGUUCUCUAAUAUUGUUCUCACUGUCAUCUUUUUGGUGAAAGUCCAUUGAGGAAUAAUAUUAACCAUCACCCUGUUUAUGAUGACCGUUAUCCUUUUGGUAAUGGUAAAUCCUUGACAUUUGUGAUAUAACCGUCAUCCUUUUGAUGUCGAAGAUCCUUGAAGUUUUGGUUCAACCUUCAUCCUUUUGGUGAGUGGUGACCUCUACAAUUAUUACAGCCUACCGUCAUCCUUUUGGUGUCGGCGAUCCUUGUGGUGAUAAGGAUCCUUGUCAUGUUGGUUCAAUCAUCAUCCUUUUGGUGAUGACGUCCAGUUCAAUCUAAUGUAACAGAUGAUGUCCAAAACAGGAUUGAGACAUCGUGCUGAUAACUGUGUAGGAAAACAACAGUAGUGAAUGUUAUGGUGCACAUAACUAAGUGUUCCUCCAUUCUAGGAUGACAUAGAAGGAGAAAUUGUGACAAUGUGAAAGGGUGCACAUUAGUACAGAGUGUAAUAACUGUCUUGCUGUAUUAGGUACAAUGUUAGAUCAGAUGUCAUGACUUGAAGUAGAACAUCUGAAUACUGACUACACCAGAAUUUCAGAUAGUCAUAAGGCAUGAGAUACUCAGAUGCUCUCUUCCUUACCCAAUCAGUAUAUGGCUCCAAAGCAAUGCAGUUCUUCAGACCCAACUCACUCGUACCCUUCUUGUGGAUCUUGCGCCAAGCGCGGACCAUCCUGGCUUUCAGGCCUUGGGGAUCUUUACCCUCCUAAAAGAACACACCUUCUAAUAGAAUGUUAUUAGGUUUAUCCUUUAGGGGGAACCCAAGCUGACGACGUGCUAACGCAUGAUUGUAGCUAAUUCCACCACAUGUACCAAGAAGAGGCACAUUGGAGAAUUCACCAUAAGAGUCAAUAAUCUGAACUCCAUCAUACACGCGAUCAUACCAAGAGAUAUCAUCAUUAGUGAGAGACAUAAGUCUCGUAGACCUCCGUAGACAUCCCUUGUUCUCCUUGAAAGCGACCGUCUGAGGUAAGUGAGAAAUAAACCACUUAUACAACAGAGGCAAACAACACACAAUAGCGCCACCACCCUUUGCAUUCCUCAGAUGCAAAGAGAAGUAAGUGAGAAAUAAACCACUUAUACAACAGAGGCAAACAACACACAAUAGCGCCACCACCCUUUGCAUUCCUCAGAUGCAAAGAGAAAUAGGUAUCACCCAACAGAGUCGGAACGGGAUUAAGAACAAAGAAGAUCCUAAUAGCGUUCCCAUCCACAAAUUUGUCGAUGUUGGGGAACAAACCCAACCCAUAGAUGAGAAGAACAAAUAUGGCCUCAAAGGCAUCCUCACUCAUGGCCUUCCCAUACACUGUAGCUUGAGCGAUGAGGAACUCAGAAGGGAGACCUUGAAUUCCACCUUUGGUAGUCAUAUGAGCUUCAAUCAGGGAUUCAUCUAUGUGCAACAAGUCUGCAAUCUCUCGAGAAGUCGGAAUACUCUCUAAGCCACUGAACGGCACCUGGUCCAGAAUAUGAAUACCCACAAGAUGAGCAUACUCCUCAAGUGUAGGCAAUAGCUGAAUGUCCGGAAAAGAGAAGCAAUGAUACAGAGGAUCAUAGAACUGCACCAAAGUACCCAUCAACCCUUCAUCAACCUGAGUAGUCAGUGUCGUACCCCAAUUUUGUCCGGGCAUUUUUAAUUUCUAGUAGAAUUAAUUUCAUUUCGAUUUUAGCAUCAUACGCAUAGCAUGACAUACAUUGCAUCAUGAAUAACACCUGAAAUGUCAGUCAGAAUAAACUUAUUUGAAGAUACAGAAAAAUCGGUUGAAUCGUCAAAAUUUGAUGAAAUACUGUAUUUUUAAUAAGUAUGUUUUGUCUUGACAAUUUUAGUGUGACCAGUUCUUUUUGUACUCAAUUUCUAUUUUUUUAACUGGUCAAAUAUUUAAAUUUUAGUUAGUUGUAAAUAUUAGUUAUUUAAUUAGAUUUUGGUUAGGUUUUAAUAAUAGUUAAUUUUUAAAUAGUAGUUAGUUUAGAUUUAAUUAUUAGUAAGUUUAUGUUUUAUUCAAGUAAAUAAUAAUUAUAAAAUAUAUAUAUAUAUUACAUUGGAUUCCAAUCCACUAAAAAACAAAAAAAACCACUAUCUCAUUCCCUGCUCCACUCCCAACAGACUCUCUCCACUACUAAUUCCACUCCCAACAAACUCUGAAAAAUCCCCAGCUCAUAUCCUCUCUCACACGUCAAUAACAACCAUCCACUCACAUCUCCCUCUACAAAAAUCUGUCUUCACUCUCUCAUCAAAAACUCACACUCCCAAAAAUAGCUCACAUCCUCUCUCCAUCUAACAACACACAAAAUCAUUCACAAAUCCCUCAGAAAAAUCUCACGCUACAUUCUCACAAAACCAUCGCUUCCCAAACAUCACCUCCAUGCCCAUCAUCAUCGCUUCACAAACCCUCGCCGUAUCCCACCGUCCAAACCCUUCAUCCACCGUCGUACCACCAUAACCGCCGACGCUCCGAAACCCUCAAUAUCUCACUCAAACUUCUUCCAUCGCCAUCACAAAACCAUAGUUUCUCCGCCGACCACAAUCGUCCUUCGAGAUCCAUCACCGAUGAACAGAUCCGAUGCCGGAUCUGCAACUUCAAUCCACUCCUAACGCUGUUAAAGUUAUCACCACGACCUAAAUCGGAAAUAACAUACAUCAAUACUAAGGCAUACAUCGUCCUCCUUGCCGAGCAGAAGAUUAAAAUCCGGUGAAGGUGAUGGAGAUUUGUUUUUUUUACUCACGAAAAGCUGUUAUGAAUUGCACUUGAGGGCCACGAGUAGAAGAUCGGUUUUGAGAGGAAAUCCCAAACAGCGAAGGAAGAACAACACGCCUCCAAAAGACUCGAUUCAAGCAGCUGCAUAUUGCAUCAUGUCUCUGAUUUAGUGUUCGUUGAUUUUCGGUAAUUUCAUUCUGUUUACUGGCUUGAUUCGAAUCCAAGUUUUAGAUUGUGCCGUAUUGUUUUAUCUAUAUUAUGUUGUGCCUUCCACAAAUUGUUGCUUAAAUGACAUAUAUUUUUUUUGUAUGUUUAAGGUUUAUUAGGAAAAUGGAUGUGUUUGAGCUUACUGUAUGAGCUUGUUAAGUGCAAAAUUCUCUUUAUUAUUGCCUCAUUGGAAUGCCGACAUUGAUGUGUUUGAGUUUACGAAGCUUUUUAUGUAAGAUUGAAAUAGCAGCAGCCUGAUUUGUUACUUUAUUAAGAUAGGGAUUGAAAUAUUAUUAUUUAUUAUUCACUUGUUAGAUUAGAGCUUAAGAAUUGUUGUGUGGGAAGUUUGGAAUGAUUGAAAGAGAAGCCCAUUUUUUUCAUUGUUAUGUCGACUAACAUUACCGUGUCAUUGUUAGCUUUUUUUUCAUUUACUGGAUUUUGUUUCACAUGAUAGGGAUGAGCAUUUAGUUUCGGCUACCUUGUAGGAUAAAAUUAGUUAAUAUAUAAACUAAUAUUUUUUUUUUACUCGGUAGGAUAUCAUUGAAUAAAUUACAUGGGUCUUAUUGUUUUAUUAUCAUUAUGUCAUGGUCUAGUGGUCUAGUGAGAACUUUGCAUGUGGUGAAAUGAGUUAAUGAGGACUCUGUUACAAGUUAUAAAUAUUUCAAUUUUAGUUAGCUUCUAAAUAUCUCUAUAGUUAAUAGAUAAUUAUAACAUGAUGAAUAAUAUUGGAUUGUCGUUUAAAGUUCAUUGAUUUAAAUCGAAUUUUACGUGGAUUCGACAAAUCCAUGUCGCUAUACCAUCAAAGUUUCAAUAAAUUAAUUGUAUAUUUUCACCGCGUUUCGAUCUCACAUACGACAUUCCAAUUUCAUUGUCGUUAUGUACAAACCGGUUUUGGAGCACAUUGUAACCAAUUCAAUUUCAUUAUCCAUUCAAACCAAUUUCAAAAAGCACAAAUCAUACAAUUCUCGAUUUAAUAUCGAGCCCCUUUUUAAACACCCUUGUAAGUCGAUUGCUCUUAGCAUCGCCAUCAACCUCANAGAUCCAUCACCGAUGAACAGAUCCGAUGCCGGAUCUGCAACUUCAAUCCACUCCUAACGCUGUUAAAGUUAUCACCACGACCUAAAUCGGAAAUAACAUACAUCAAUACUAAGGCAUACAUCGUCCUCCUUGCCGAGCAGAAGAUUAAAAUCCGGUGAAGGUGAUGGAGAUUUGUUUUUUUUACUCACGAAAAGGUGUUAUGAAUUGCACUUGAGGGCCACGAGUAGAAGAUCGGUUUUGAGAGGAAAUCCCAAACAGCGAAGGAAGAACAACACGCCUCCAAAAGACUCGAUUCAAGCAGCUGCAUAUUGCAUCAUGUCUCUGAUUUAGUGUUCGUUGAUUUUCGGUAAUUUCAUUCUGUUUACUGGCUUGAUUCGAAUCCAAGUUUUAGAUUGUGCCGUAUUGUUUUAUCUAUAUUAUGUUGUGCCUUCCACAAAUUGUUGCUUAAAUGACAUAUAUUUUUUUUGUAUGUUUAAGGUUUAUUAGGAAAAUGGAUGUGUUUGAGCUUACUGUAUGAGCUUGUUAAGUGCAAAAUUCUCUUUAUUAUUGCCUCAUUGGAAUGCCGACAUUGAUGUGUUUGAGUUUACGAAGCUUUUUAUGUAAGAUUGAAAUAGCAGCAGCCUGAUUUGUUACUUUAUUAAGAUAGGGAUUGAAAUAUUAUUAUUUAUUAUUCACUUGUUAGAUUAGAGCUUAAGAAUUGUUGUGUGGGAAGUUUGGAAUGAUUGAAAGAGAAGCCCAUUUUUUUCAUUGUUAUGUCGACUAACAUUACCGUGUCAUUGUUAGCUUUUUUUUCAUUUACUGGAUUUUGUUUCACAUGAUAGGGAUGAGCAUUUAGUUUCGGCUACCUUGUAGGAUAAAAUUAGUUAAUAUAUAAACUAAUAUUUUUUUUUUACUCGGUAGGAUAUCAUUGAAUAAAUUACAUGGGUCUUAUUGUUUUAUUAUCAUUAUGUCAUGGUCUAGUGGUCUAGUGAGAACUUUGCAUGUGGUGAAAUGAGUUAAUGAGGACUCUGUUACAAGUUAUAAAUAUUUCAAUUUUAGUUAGCUUCUAAAUAUCUCUAUAGUUAAUAGAUAAUUAUAACAUGAUGAAUAAUAUUGGAUUGUCGUUUAAAGUUCAUUGAUUUAAAUCGAAUUUUACGUGGAUUCGACAAAUCCAUGUCGCUAUACCAUCAAAGUUUC
rnacentral:lncRNA from 1 species